UCCCCAGUAAGAUUGCUUUUGUACGUCGAAAAUCCUGAUUAACACUGUCCAACUUGGCACAAAUUCAGAAUCAGAGGCAGUCUACAAUAUGGCAUAAAAGAGUAAAUGAGGUCGUAGGCCAUGUACUGAAUGGCCUAAAGGCCUAUAUAAAGGGAUCUCUUAUUGUUCUUUCAGAAUUACAGAAGAAAAGUUAUUUUCGGUAUGUCAUGUGUGAUUCUAACAGCAACAGAAAGAAUUUCCAUCGUACACUUGUAAAAUUCACGAUCCAAAAAUAAGUUUUGCAAUAUCAGCAGUAAUUUUUCUUUCUUUUUUUUGGAGAAACAUGCAUCAUACAAUAAUGAACCCAAAUCUGGUAGAUCGUGAGGCCUACCUUCAUAAAUCAAGCCAUGUAGCAAAAAUAAAUUCUAUCAGUCACAAUUUCCAACCUGAAUAAUCAAAAACUCGAAUUCUAUCAUAUCCAUGGUAUAAAUAUUUAUUUACAAAAAGAAAAAGAAAAAGAAAAAGAAAAAGAAACCAUAUUCAUCAAGUAGCACCAAGUAUGCUUGUCUUAGUGCUGAACUAUGUGACUCAUCGCGUGAUUUCCAACAAUUCAGCUACAUUAGUAAAUCUAUAUACUAUAAUAAGGAACUUUUGAGAGCUUUAGGACUAUAAGUUCAAAACUGAAAGGUGGGAAUUAGCAAUUGAAGAACUAGGAUCAAGGACCAUCUUAUUAUCUGAAAAAGGGGUCCACCACGAAGCGCUUACAAAUUGAUCAGAGUUAACUUAUUGCAAUCCAUGUACAAGGAGUCUACAAAUUAACUAAAAUAAAGCAACUGCGACAUGAUUACAGAACUGCAACUAUUGGUCAAGGGACACAACACAACCAUACCAAUGGAAAAUGACCAUGAUGUUGAAAGUGAUGAAAAAUCUCAUCUGCUCCCUGUAAAUCACCCCCUUCAAAUCAUCUAAUGAGAAGCUCCGGCAAAGGAACUCAAUGAACUGAUCACAGAUUCGUAAACCUUGAUUCCUUUCAGGUAUAUGGUGUCCUUAAGGAACUGUAGAACAUAGUUAAGUAAGAAAAGAACCAANNNNNNNNNNNNNNNNNNNNNNNNNNNNNNNNNNNNNNNNNNNNNNNNNNNNNNNNNNNNNNNNNNNNNNNNNNNNNNNNNNNNNNNNNNNNNNNNNNNNNNNNNNNNNNNNNNNNNNNNNNNNNNNNNNNNNNNNNNNNNNNNNNNNNNNNNNNNNNNNNNNNNNNNNNNNNNNNNNNNNNNNNNNNNNNNNNNNNNNNNNNNNNNNNNNNNNNNNNNNNNNNNNNNNNNNNNNNNNNNNNNNNNNNNNNNNNNNNNNNNNNNNNNNNNNNNNNNNNNNNNNNNNNNNNNNNNNNNNNNNNNNNNNNNNNNNNNNNNNNNNNNNNNNNNNNNNNNNNNNNNNNNNNNNNNNNNNNNNNNNNNNNNNNNNNNNNNNNNNNNNNNNNNNNNNNNNNNNNNNNNNNNNNNNNNNNNNNNNNNNNNNNNNNNNNNNNNNNNNNNNNNNNNNNNNNNNNNNNNNNNNNNNNNNNNNNNNNNNNNNNNNNNNNNNNNNNNNNNNNNNNNNNNNNNNNNNNNNNNNNNNNNNNNNNNNNNNNNNNNNNNNNNNNNNNNNNNNNNNNNNNNNNNNNNNNNNNNNNNNNNNNNNNNNNNNNNNNNNNNNNNNNNNNNNNNNNNNNNNNNNNNNNNNNNNNNNNNNNNNNNNNNNNNNNNNNNNNNNNNNNNNNNNNNNNNNNNNNNNNNNNNNNNNNNNNNNNNNNNNNNNNNNNNNNNNNNNNNNNNNNNNNNNNNNNNNNNNNNNNNNNNNNNNNNNNNNNNNNNNNNNNNNNNNNNNNNNNNNNNNNNNNNNNNNNNNNNNNNNNNNNNNNNNNNNNNNNNNNNNNNNNNNNNNNNNNNNNNNNNNNNNNNNNNNNNNNNNNNNNNNNNNNNNNNNNNNNNNNNNNNNNNNNNNNNNNNNNNNNNNNNNNNNNNNNNNNNNNNNNNNNNNNNNNNNNNNNNNNNNNNNNNNNNNNNNNNNNNNNNNNNNNNNNNNNNNNNNNNNNNNNNNNNNNNNNNNNNNNNNNNNNNNNNNNNNNNNNNNNNNNNNNNNNNNNNNNNNNNNNNNNNNNNNNNNNNNNNNNNNNNNNNNNNNNNNNNNNNNNNNNNNNNNNNNNNNNNNNNNNNNNNNNNNNNNNNNNNNNNNNNNNNNNNNNNNNNNNNNNNNNNNNNNNNNNNNNNNNNNNNNNNNNNNNNNNNNNNNNNNNNNNNNNNNNNNNNNNNNNNNNNNNNNNNNNNNNNNNNNNNNNNNNNNNNNNNNNNNNNNNNNNNNNNNNNNNNNNNNNNNNNNNNNNNNNNNNNNNNNNNNNNNNNNNNNNNNNNNNNNNNNNNNNNNNNNNNNNNNNNNNNNNNNNNNNNNNNNNNNNNNNNNNNNNNNNNNNNNNNNNNNNNNNNNNNNNNNNNNNNNNNNNNNNNNNNNNNNNNNNNNNNNNNNNNNNNNNNNNNNNNNNNNNNNNNNNNNNNNNNNNNNNNNNNNNNNNNNNNNNNNNNNNNNNNNNNNNNNNNNNNNNNNNNNNNNNNNNNNNNNNNNNNNNNNNNNNNNNNNNNNNNNNNNNNNNNNNNNNNNNNNNNNNNNNNNNNNNNNNNNNNNNNNNNNNNNNNNNNNNNNNNNNNNNNNNNNNNNNNNNNNNNNNNNNNNNNNNNNNNNNNNNNNNNNNNNNNNNNNNNNNNNNNNNNNNNNNNNNNNNNNNNNNNNNNNNNNNNNNNNNNNNNNNNNNNNNNNNNNNNNNNNNNNNNNNNNNNNNNNNNNNNNNNNNNNNNNNNNNNNNNNNNNNNNNNNNNNNNNNNNNNNNNNNNNNNNNNNNNNNNNNNNNNNNNNNNNNNNNNNNNNNNNNNNNNNNNNNNNNNNNNNNNNNNNNNNNNNNNNNNNNNNNNNNNNNNNNNNNNNNNNNNNNNNNNNNNNNNNNNNNNNNNNNNNNNNNNNNNNNNNNNNNNNNNNNNNNNNNNNNNNNNNNNNNNNNNNNNNNNNNNNNNNNNNNNNNNNNNNNNNNNNNNNNNNNNNNNNNNNNNNNNNNNNNNNNNNNNNNNNNNNNNNNNNNNNNNNNNNNNNNNNNNNNNNNNNNNNNNNNNNNNNNNNNNNNNNNNNNNNNNNNNNNNNNNNNNNNNNNNNNNNNNNNNNNNNNNNNNNNNNNNNNNNNNNNNNNNNNNNNNNNNNNNNNNNNNNNNNNNNNNNNNNNNNNNNNNNNNNNNNNNNNNNNNNNNNNNNNNNNNNNNNNNNNNNNNNNNNNNNNNNNNNNNNNNNNNNNNNNNNNNNNNNNNNNNNNNNNNNNNNNNNNNNNNNNNNNNNNNNNNNNNNNNNNNNNNNNNNNNNNNNNNNNNNNNNNNNNNNNNNNNNNNNNNNNNNNNNNNNNNNNNNNNNNNNNNNNNNNNNNNNNNNNNNNNNNNNNNNNNNNNNNNNNNNNNNNNNNNNNNNNNNNNNNNNNNNNNNNNNNNNNNNNNNNNNNNNNUUCUGUUCCACCAAGGGAAACUCAUGACAUGUGAAACUGAUGUAGAUGGACAGGAAAUGAUGACAGCUCGCUGGCAACAUCAUUUUCAUCUCCUUGAUUUUGCGGUCCAGUCGAUGUUCGCCCACCUAUAUAGAGCAACUUUCUGCUCCAAUAAAAGUUCUGUCCUUAGGAACUUACCAAUGGAGAAGCUGACGCACGCGAAGGAGAAAAACUGCAGCUCGUUUGCAACAUCAUCUUCAACUCCUCGCUUUUGUGAUCCCACCAGCAUUGCUCUCUUCCAAAUCUAAUUUGGAACUUUGUCCACAUAUCCUUUUGGGAUUUUGAUUUUAUGUUCAUGACUACACUUGUGUUUUAAAGUUUAUUAGAAUAGAAAAAGGGGGAGGAGAAAAUGGAGAAGGAAAGAGGAGCAAAGAGAAGGAAGGUGCAGCAGAAGAAAUCCUGGCCGCCAAGGUAUUAACCUGCCUCUUAUACCAAGUUGUCAGGAACCUGUCCUGAUAUAUGGAGACGUAAAGGAAGAAGAAUAAGCAGAGGAAAGAAAAGAAUUGAAGAAGUACACCUUUGUUGUAGAGAAGGAAAUUCAAUAUUCAUUCAUGUUUUCCCUUGAUAUAAAAUUCAGUCCCUCAUGUAUAGGGUCUUCUCUCUUUCUCUAGCAACAAAGCAGUAACUGAACGGAGAAGACUUUCUCCUUUCUUCGAUUUCUCUUCCUUGAUAUUAGUUGAUAAUACACUUGUGAUUUAGGUCAUCAAUGUUCUAACUUUUCAUAUAAGAAACAGAGAACUCAAACACAAUAUCUAGAUAAAAUUCAUUAUGAACAAAAAAUUGAAGAUCUCAAAUAUUAAUUAUUAGAUCAAUAACUCAACAUUUGCAUAAUAAUCAUAUCAAUGGUCUACAAACAACACAACCAGAAUAUAAGAGAGGCUCAAAAGUGCCUUGAUAAAGUGUUAAAGUUUCUACAUUGAAAGGAGGAUCAAUAUGCAUAUGAGUGGGGAAGUCAAGCAACUACAUUAAGUCCAACAGAUCAAACAAUGAGGCAAGUGCCAAGAGCUUAGGUAUAUAAUUUCUUGAAAACCUGUUUUUUGGAUAUUGUUCAGAGGAUGCAAAGCAUGCUUCAGUCACCUACAUGAAAUUCUAUAGUUUUACAAUACGCAUCUAUUGCAAGUUUAUAAUCAAUAUUAGUUAAAGUAAUCUUUGCCUAAUCUCAACAUGUAAAUCAAGAAAGUAUUUGGCAAAUAAUUUAGCAGGCUCAUAAAUUUUAAUGUAAGGAGUUUAGAUAAGGUUAAUAGAUGCUCGAAGGUAAUAACCAUGAACAAUUUCAAAAGAACUCUUACCAGUUGGUUCUUGUGUUCAAGAACCAAAAAUUAAGUUAUCAAGUCAGUAUUAUGUCCAAGCUCUCUUUCAUCCUAAAUCCUUAAUCUUUGUAUUAAAAGUUGUUCCAAAUACGACUUUUAAUUUCAAAUAAAAUUAAUAUAGUACAUUUUGAAUUCUUUCGAAAUUGAUGGAAUAAGAAACAGAUUAUAGUGGUUUAAAAGAAAAACAACUAUAAACCAUAAACAUAUACUUCAAAAUACAAAUAAUACUACCCAAACACCAUUAUGCUAAAAGUGCAUGACUCAAAAUGCAAUUAAUUCAAUAAAAUAUGUUAGAAGUUCAUGGUUUAUUCUGGAUAUUGAAAUCCAUUUACAAAUAGAAAUAAAACGAACUCCAUUGUCCAUUUAUUCCAAGCAUAACCUUAACUAACAUGGCAACUUAGAGAGAGAGAGAGAGAGAGAGAGAGAAAGAGAGAGAGAAAGAGAGAGAGAGAGAGAGAGAGCAGAUUCUCAAUUUUCCUCCAUCCAACUGUCAUGAGCUUCAGAAAGUAUUGUGUUUUCAAUUAACUUAUAUCUAAAACUGCGGCUAUCUUCCAAGCAAUAAAGCUCCGAAGACAACAGAAUCAACUUCCACCAUUAAUAGUUUGGAGCAUUACACGUCUAAAACUAAUCCUUANNNNNNNNNNNNNNNNNNNNNNNNNNNNNNNNNNNNNNNNNNNNNNNNNNNNNNNNNNNNNNNNNNNNNNNNNNNNNNNNNNNNNNNNNNNNNNNNNNNNNNNNNNNNNNNNNNNNNNNNNNNNNNNNNNNNNNNNNNNNNNNNNNNNNNNNNNNNNNNNNNNNNNNNNNNNNNNNNNNNNNNNNNNNNNNNNNNNNNNNNNNNNNNNNNNNNNNNNNNNNNNNNNNNNNNNNNNNNNNNNNNNNNNNNNNNNNNNNNNNNNNNNNNNNNNNNNNNNNNNNNNNNNNNNNNNNNNNNNNNNNNNNNNNNNNNNNNNNNNNNNNNNNNNNNNNNNNNNNNNNNNNNNNNNNNNNNNNNNNNNNNNNNNNNNNNNNNNNNNNNNNNNNNNNNNNNNNNNNNNNNNNNNNNNNNNNNNNNNNNNNNNNNNNNNNAGCGGCCUGCCCAGCCUUCACACAUCGAAAUGAGUGUCUCUGAACUUCGUAAACCAACUCAAUGCUCUUCAUCAAAUUCUCCAUGGCUCCGUUAUCAUACAUCCCUGGACCCAUGCCCGGGGGUACCAGUGGCUUUAAGCACAAGCCCCCAUGGGGUCCUGUCCGCGUAGAAGACCCUGAACUCGUCGCCGGGGGAAGCCUGGCGUUCGUCCAUCACGAACCCAACAUUCAGCUCCCGGAACUCCUGGGAAUCCGCGAACUUCUCCAUCCCGUGAAAGCCGCCAAUCUCCUCGUCGGGGACGUACGACACAUGGACCGUACGCAGGGGGGCGAAUGCCCUGGACUUGAGGGAGCGGAUGGCCUCCAGGUACUGCAUGCCGAUACACUUGUCGUCCUGCGCUCCACGAGCGAAAAUCUCGCCAGUGGGGGUGCGAAAGGCGGAGAAAGGCGGGUGGAGCCAUUUGGCAGGUUCAGCGGGGACGGAGUCGAGGUGAGAGUUGAAGAGAAUUGAAGGGAGGGAAGGGUCGGAACCCCGCCAGGUAAGGAGGAGGACAGGUUUGCCCGGGACGAACUCGAGAGAACGGACGUUUAAGGCCAGGGAUUGGGCUUGGUCGAUGAGGAAGGAGAUCGGAGCGGUGUAGUUGGGGUCUGGAUGGGCUGUGUUGAACCUCAGGUAUCGUUGGUAGCGGGUGACAGGUGUAUCCUCUUCUUCUUCUUCUUGGGAAUCUUGUGACUGAGAUUUUGCAGAUAAUAGCGAGAAUAAGAAGGCCAAGAUUAGGAGGACGUAUAACAGGCGGCGAGAGGCGGCCAUGGGUUUUGUUAGACUGAGUGACUGACUGAGCCACCUCGGUCAACUACGAUCCAGUCAUUUAUGAAGAGACGACUACUGUUAGCCCAUAUUUUUAUUUUUAAAUAUGGAAUUUCACUGUAAAACCCAAACAAUGCAACUCAAAAUAACGGGUCUGGAAUUUAAUUAAAAUUGAUUCAAUUAAAAAUUUCAUCUCCAUGAACAACUUAUUUUGAUAUUAUUUAAAUUAUUAAUUUUUUUUGAGUAAAUAAAAAUUAUCACCAUAUGCAAAAUCUAUAAAUAGUUAUUUACUGUUGCAGAUUUGUUUGUAUGCGAUACGAGAGAGAACACUAUUUAUUAUAUUUCCUUAAAGUUAAAUUAAAAUUGUAUGGUUUUUAUACGAUUUUAAUGCUUCGUUAAUCUUAAACUACGAUUUUAUAUCUCUUUUUGAAAAAUAUUCUAAAUCAAUACGUAAUUGUAAAAUAAUUUAUUUUCAAAAUAACAAGAAAUAAAUAAAACGCACACGUAAUUUUAAUACUAUAAUUGUCUUUUAUAUUAUCGAUUUUUAUUAUUUUUUAUUUUAUUCAUCAUAAAAUAAUAAAUUAUAAAUAUAGUAUUUACGCAUAUUACAAUUUUAUAUUUAAAUAUAAUAAAUUAAGAUUUAUGAUUAUUAAAUAUAAUUAAUCAUUUUUAAACGAAACUAAUAAAUUGAUAGUUUGUUGCACACAUUAAAUUUUAUAUUAAGUUCAUUUAUUAAUAAUAAUAAAAUAAUAAUAUAUAUUUUUUGUAUUAUUUUAUUUAUAUAUUGGUAUAUUCUAUAUACGUAAAUUUAUAAUAUUUAUAAAUACGAUUUUACAUAUAAUUAAAAAUAUAACAUUUAAAUAACAAGAAGAUAUAACAUUAUUUAUAUUUACACUAUUUUUGUUACAUUAUUAAUUUUUCUGACAAAUAUAUUUUUUCUUCUUGAGAGAGCUACUAUUUUUUUACUAACCAUAUAUAUAUUUAUAUAUAUAAACUGCUUUCAUAAACUUGGUACAAUAUUAUUAUAUUGGAUUCUUUCCCCUUGAACCUAACAUUUACCUUUAAAUCACCAUUGACCAAAAUCCGCUUAUUUGCUUAUAAAAUCAGAAUUCAAAGAGUUUUCAAAUUCUAUAAUUAUUUAAUAUAUAAGUAAACUAAUUAUUCAUAUAUUUACUUUUACAACAAUAUUAUUUCGUCCUCAUCAUUAAAUUUUUUUUUUCUAAAAAUACAGAAUUUAAGUUAAAUAAAAUUGAUUUGAAAUUAUAAUAUAUAUUUUAUUGAUAUUUUAUGAAAUUAAAAUUUAAACCACAUUUUUGAACCUCUUAAAAUAAAUUCCAAAUUGCGUUGACCACUGCUGCGUUAUAGCAGUAGGAAUUAUACGCUAUCCUGGUGCGUGAUGAGUAUGAGCGACGAGGGCGCGUGGGAAUAAACCUUCCAUUUCCACCGCCUUUUUUAAAUUGACCAUCGCAGCCCAAAUAUGAUUGGAUGGUCUUCCAACCUCUUACGUCAAAGUGGACCACAAAAUCUCUCUUCCUCGAAAAUCCAACACGCAUUACUUCUCACGCGCCUAUAUAGAUCUCAGCGACCCCUCACUCGGUUGCGCGUGGACAACAUCUCCUGCUCUUAGUUAAGGAGCCUAGAUUUCAUAAAGCAUAAACAUAAUUAAAAAAUAAAAAUAAAAAAAAAGAAACAGAAGGAGAGAAUCAGACACGACGACCUGCGACGCCGAGUUUUCUACAAUGGUGAAAGGCUCUCUAUCAGGCUUCCAUGUAGGGGUGCUGUCCCUAAUAUUUCUGUGCUUAACGAUUAGCGAUAAAAGCAAUCUCGUCCCCGUUGCAGAAGCUUUAUGGUUGACGAUUCCUAGUACGGGUUCCAAGUGCGUGUCGGAGGAGAUUCGAGAUAACGUCGUCGUUUUGGGUAGUUACCACGUGUUCGACGACGAUCAUCCCGAAAGCGUUCCCAAGAUCAGUGCUCGGGUAUGGUGAAUCAGUCUCGCAUAAAUGAUAUAGUCUUUUUCUCUUUUUUAUUUGGACAGAAACGGAUUAUACGUAAUGCGAGUGUAGUUUGACGAGAAAAGUGAUGUCGUUUUGUGAAGGUAACAUCGCCGUACGGGAAGCGUCUGUACGAAAUUCAGAAUGUGAGUUAUGGAGAUUUUGCAUUUACAAGUCAGGAAGCUGGUGAAUACAUGGCUUGUUUCUGGACGGAUGCCAGUCGGGAACAAACUACGCCCGUAAGUCUCGGGCUUAACUGGAGAAUUGGGGUCGAUGCCAAGGAUUGGGCCUCCAUUGCCAAAAAGGAAAAGAUUGAGGCAAGCUUCUAACUUAAUACUACACAUUUAUUUUCCAGUUUAAAAUAUAAUCAACUCUGUGAGUACGUAUGAGAUAUUUUUCUUUUUGCAGGGAGUGGAGCUUCAGUUGAGAAAACUUGAAGAAUUAGUCAAUGGAAUUCAUGAUCGGUUACUCUAUUUCAAGCUAAGGUAUUUUGUUUAUUGAUUUUCUGUGUGUUUAAUUUGUUUUUUACAGUUGAACAUGAAUGAAUGUAUACGUGUGUGUAUAUAUAUAUAUAUUUAAUACUGGGAUGGAAUUAUUACAGGGAGUUACGUACGAGAGAAAUGAGCGAAGCAGCCAACUGGAAAGUGGCAAGGUUUAGUAUAAUGUCGAUCGGUGUUUGCAUAGUGGCCUCCAUUUUGCAGCUCUGGCAUUUGAAGCGUUACUUUGUAAAGAAGAGGCUUAUCUAGAUUUUGUUCAUAAUAGACUUCGUUAAAAAAAAAAAUAUAUGUCUGCUUGUCUCAACAUAAAUUUUCUUUUGUUAAUCAUAAUAUUUUAUAUAAUACCACCCUAUUUAUAAUUUAAGAAUUAUAACUAUUUUUUAGUUUUUAAUAAAUUAAAAAUUAAAUUUUUUAAUAUUUAUACAUAAUUAAAUUUCAUAUUUUAUGAGAUCCCGUUAAACUUAUAUCUUAUAAUUAUCAAUAAUUAAAUUUAAAUAUACAUAAAAUUGUGUAUCUUUUUCUUCUUUAUUAUAUUAUUUUUGUUGUUAUUUUUGUUUUGAGAUAAAGUUAGAGUUAAAAUUAUUUUGGUCAGUACCAAAUUUAAAAUUUUUAAUUUAAAUGACUGAGUGUUAAAAAUUUUGUAAAAAUAAUUGUAUUCAAAUUAAUUUUAUAAUAUACUAUUUAAUAAAUUUUAAUAUAAAAAUAGUUACCAAUAUAAAUAUUGUAGUAUUAUGUUUAAUUCAAAAGAAAAUUUAUGAUUGAAAUUAAUACGAAAACAAAAUCAUUAAAUUAUAACACUCAAACACUCUGCUCAAAUGUAAGUUAAUUAAAAAAGAAAUUGUACCUUUAUAUUAAUUACCUAAUUAGUUUAUUAUAUAUUAAUGAUUUGAAAUAUCUAUUAAAUCAUACAUGCAUACAUAAAAUAUGAUUAUGUUUGAAAUUUACAUGUAAGUAAUAAUUUUUAAAAAGAUUAUCUUCGUCGCCUAUGAGAUACAAUCAGCCCAUUUAGGCCACGGCUCAAGAAAAACAAAGAGUUAACGCCAACUAAAACUAAGGUCAAUCUUGCAGUACCGUUAGUUUACGGCACAAAAAGGGCCCGACCCGGCUUCCUGCUAUCGGUUUUGGAAGGAUGGCGAUUGCAGCAGCGGCAGCAAUAGCAGCGAUGCCAUCGUCAAUGGCUUUACUUACAAGACCAAAGCCCAAGUGGAAGUUCACUACUACGGCUUAUUCUUCAUUUUUCUCUUCUUCUUCCUCGCCAACAUCUAAAACUAGGAAGCUCGUCCUUUACUCGAAACCCGGUUGCUGUUUGUGUGACGGCCUCAAGGAAAAGCUCCAGGCCGCCUUCUUGCUCUCUGGUCCUGAUUCCCUCCACGAUGUCGAUUUGCAGGCAAGUAUAUCUCUAUAUUUCUUUAUCCUUCUAUGUGUUUAAAUGUAUGUAUGUAUGCAUGUGUGCGAGUAUGUAUAAAUUGAAAUGGAUUUGCUUGGGUUUUUCUAGGUGAGGGAUAUUACCAGCAAUCCAGAGUGGGAAAAAGCUUACCAGUAUGAGAUACCGGUUUUGGCAAGAGUAGUUUCUGAUGGCACUGAGGUUUGUGUUAUUCGGCUUGCCUUCCUCUGUUUUGUUUUCUUGUUUUUUUUUUUUUUUUUUUUGUGGUGGGUGGUUGUUUUAAGCUUUUUGUCUAAUUGUGUCAUGCUUGGUUAUUGUUUUUAAUGGGAAUUUCUUUAAUGUUAGGAAGUAUUGCAGUUCAGAAAUCCACAUUUUGGGAAGACUCCCUUGGUUGGUUUUCAGUCUGCAACUUUGCCAUUAAAUACAUUGGUUGAUUUUCAGUCCGUAACUUUGCCAUUAAAUACCUUGGAAUCACAUUCAUCGAGGGGGAAGAAGAACAUAUCUUCGAAUAGUGUUGAAGCAAGAAUUUAUUGAAAGCAUAGCGAGAUUGAAUAGUUAUCAUUAUACUAAAAGAACUCAUUGGGGAGUGAGAUGAUAGGUGAACCUAAAUAUGUUACAUCUAAGUGGCAAAAAGCUUUGAGAGGUUUCAUUUUAAAAUCUUGUUAAAAUUUCCUUUUUUUUUCUUUGUGGUUUUAUACCUUGCAGAUAUUAUGGCAGGCAAUAAUGUUCUAAAUGAGAGGGCCAGUUUCUCUUGAUAUCCUACAUUUUUGUUAGACAGAAACAAAAGGUUAAUGUUUUACAAUUUAGUUGGGUGACAGUAGAAGGAGAUGUCCUUCAAUGUUUUCUUUCUCUUUUAAGAUUGAUUAUUUUAGCUAUCGUUGCAGUAUUUUAUCAAUCACCCCAUUACAGAUUAUUGCAACUCUAUUUAUUUGGAAGGUCAUCUGCAGGAAAAAUCUAUUUAGCACAACACUUGUGCAAAGCAUGUAGUGGAUGUAGUGUCUUUUCUUCUUUAAAAUAUUUUAAAGAAGAUUGACUUAUAAAAUAAUGUAAAUCUAGGUCAACUUUUAGUUAGUUUGACAAUAUUGUAGUAUUAUCAGGUGUAUCUUUUUCAGCUGAAUAUAGUUGUUCUCGAAACAAACCUUGAUCUAUCCUUGUCAUUGGCCCAUAUUUUUCUUAAACAUUCUCUGAAGUUUAUGCAUGGAAUACAUCAACUUCUAUAAAAAAUCCUUUUGGCCCUAAAAUAGGUAAGAAAAUGGACAAAAAGGGAUUUCCAAAAUGACAGGUGUCACUAGGUGAGGAUGCAUCCAAAGGGAACCAGUAACGAGCGUGUUCUAGAUGAGUCCAAGUCUUGUUCUUGGCCUUUCCUUGAGAGUCCUUACAAUGAUGCAAUACCUGAUAUAAAUGGUAACUAAUAGCUGUUACUCUCAUAUUACAAUUUUGAAUUAGAAUUUCUGACUUCUUCAUCUCUAAAACAAUUUUAAAUUAGAAUUUCAUCAGAUGGUUAGAUUGUUCUCUGCCUUCUCCAUCUCUAAAAUAUUAGCAAGUUAAUCUCUCUUGUUGACUAGUUGUUGUCCCAGACUUCCAAUAGUUUACAUAAUAAGAUCAUUCGGAUAUGACAACUUCUGCAUCUAAAAGAUGUUGAACUUUAGUGAGAUGAGAGUUCACAUCAACAAUUUUAAAUUACAUGCAACUAAAAUUUGUGAGGAUCUGCUUUAGUGUCAGCUCUCUCUACUCUUUUCUGUCCGGUCAUAACUUUAACGAAAAAUAUCAUUUUCUCUCAAAAAUCAUUUGGAAAUCGGGUACCCCUCCAAGAAUUGCUUUUUUUGCCUGGGAAGCUGCAAAAGGGAAAAUCCUGACAAUUGACAAUUUGAUGAAAAGAGGGCAUACUAUUUUCAACAGGUGUUUCUUAUGUAAGAGAUCUCUUGAAUCAUGUAAUCAUUUACUUUUGAAAUGUCAAACAUCUCACAAAUUCUGAAGUAUGAUACUCGGGCUUUUGGGGAUCUCUUGGGUAAUGGCAGAUUCUGUUUAUUCCAAACUUCUAGUAUGGGAAGAUUUGAGUGGUAACAAAGCGCAUAGGUUAAUCACUCUUACUAUUUUCUGGGUUAUUUGGAAGGAGAGAAACAACAGGGCUUUUGAGGGGCUUGAACAAGAUUUUAAUAAUAUAAAAAAUAAAUGGUUUCAUUAUUUUGCCUCUACUGUUUUAGAACAUAAUUUAGAAUAUUUUGAAAAUCUUGGUUCUAUUGUAGAUAUGCUAAUUGACAUGUAAAUUUUUUGUAAAUGGGUGGUGCUCCCUUAGCACCUCACAUUAAUAUAUAUUCUCUUCUUUUAUUUAAAAAAAAAAUAAAUAAAUUGAGUGCAAAGUAAAGUAAAACAGUUUCAGUGGAUCCAGUAUUAGCAUUCUUGCAACAUACUAGGAGGGAACGUGUUUGAUCCGUUGGGUUUUGAUCGAUUUCUGGUUAAGGAGGAGUUUGUUUAUCUCGUGCUGCUCUAUAACUUACUAAAUUGUUGAAUUGGCAUUUUGAUAGGGUCUUGGGCAAAACUUAUUCGAAGUGAAGUAAGAAUUUGAAGAAAAUACCUCGCUAUCAAUGGUGUAGGAAGUAAAAACUAAGAUCCUUGAGCAUGUGGAAUAUGCACAUUGACCUGUAAAAGAUCAUUUGAUAGACAAUCUGUUACCUAUUUUGUUUAUGGGGUGAUAGUAUAGCUCUAGCUAUGAAGUAAGAAUCCUUCAACACAUACAGGUUAAAGAAAAAGUAAAAGAAAGAGAGAGGGUACAUCAGUGGAGAGUACCAUACAUGCCAAAUUUAGCAUGCUUCAUUACUGUGCCCCCUUCAAUGGAGUUACUUAUAGAAUUUUCAGCAUUAAAAGUCUUCCUCCCAAUUAGUGUUUUUUACUAGCAUAGAACUUAAUCCUUGUUUUUCCUGCAUAUAGAGGAUGAAGGAAAAAAUUCAAAAUCACAAGAAUGGCUCCAUAAGAAAAACUACGUAUGCCUAAAACUACUAUAUGAUUCUUGUGGACCUCCUCUUGCUCCCUAGGAGUAUUCUGUGAAGUAUAAUCUCUUUGAUAUGAGCAAGAACUCAACAUUUGUUGUAUCCAUCCUUGAUUUUUACCCGUUGAUUGUGAAGCUUAUAAUUGGAGUUUAAGCUCAAGUGAUAUGUCUGUUAAAUAAUGUACUUUACAUGUAAAUAAUUAAAGGUGAAUUAUGCUAAAAGACAUUAUGGUAAAAUCCGUCCUAUGUAAUUAAUUGUUGGUUUCCUUUCUGGUUGUGGAGAACUUGUAUAUAUAACAUUAAUAUUAUUUAAUAAUAUACCUGACAUAUCAUUCUUGACAUGGUAUCAGAAUUUUAAGAAAAAUACCGUAAUUUUUUUACAAACCCUAAUCAACCUUCAUUGUCAAAAUAAGAAAAACACAAAAAUCCUAAAUGGGAUUAGCUUUCAUAGCCAGCCAUCAGAAAAACUCCAGCGACCACAACCUGCAGCAAUGAGCACCAGCAAGCCAACAGCGCACUCACCCAGCCACAUCUGCACCCAGCCACAUCUGCCUCUGAGCCACAUCUGCCUCUGAGCCACAUCUGCACCCAGCUUUAUGCCUCCAGCAGUGUGCCUGCCACCCAGCAGUGCGCCUGCCACCCAGCUGUGCAUCCCUCCAACCACGCCUCUGUACAGCUGCCAUAACUAAUUCUGUCCUGGGUGCAACCUUCUGUCCAGCUACAUUCAGACCAUUAGUUUGUCUUAUCAAAUUGCCCUUAAUUUCCCUGAAAACUUUAAAUCAUGUAGGAGGUUAUGUCUCAAGUUAUUGGCGCAAAUUCCAACAUGGUAAAUUCACAACAACUCAAUGAAAUUUCAAGCAAUUCAGGCUGUCUAUUGCUUGAAUGCAAAGAAUUACCUGAAUUGGCUACAACUACUUCGGAUGAUUCUUAAAGAAAAAUGGAAAAUCAGUCAUAUUCUGGGCACCGGAUCUAAACUGGGAGACCCACAAUUUGAUGUCUAUGAUGAGGAAGAUUCAAUGAUAAUGACUUGGUUAUGGGAUUCAAUAUCACCUAAGAUAAGCAAUACUUGUAUGUUCCUAUCACUGCUAAGGAAGUUUGGGAAGCUCUUAAAGAAACUUAUUUCAAAGUAAAAGAUUCAGCCAUACGAUCUAAUAAUCAAAUCUUGGUUUUCCAAGCAUGGAAGUAGAUAAGUGACGAAGUAUGCUAAUUUACUGAAAAAUUAGUAGCAGAAACUAGAUCAAUACUACUGCCUUCCUAUGGAUUAUUCAACAGCCUUGAAGAAGUUUGUUGGAAAAGUUAGAGUCGAUUAAUUAAUGGGGGGUUUCAAUGCAGAAUUUGACCAGGUAAGGAUUCAAAUAUUGGGAAAAGAAGACAUGCUUUCGCUAAAUGAGUUGGAAAAGAAAGCAGGAGAGGAGUUAUGCCGAAAACCUCGCUCCAUUAAGAGCGCGGUCAUUAUUCAACGGUUCCAAAUCACUCCAACCGGUGAAGGAACUGAGUUAGAUUGACACACUAGCAAUAGGAGGAGAGGAUGAAGAUAAUAUGUGGUGUACCUUUUGCAAGAAGUCAAAGACACACCACGGAGAAAUGCUAGAAACUCCAUAAGAAGUCCACUACCUCAAGCAAGGAGUGAGGUAUAAAAUAACCCACAAAAUAUGGACAAGUUCAUGUAGUCAGCCAGGAGGAGGAGGAAAGAACCAUUGAUCUUAGUAAAUUCAAAGUUAAAUGAAUGCUAAAGAAGCAGGCUUGAGGAACUUGAAAAACCAUAGGUAUAAAUUUGUUGGCACGCACAGGUACAUUUUCUCUCUCACAGAGUUUAAAUACCUCAUACAAACCAUUUAAACAGUCAAUGAUUAUAUACUCAGGGGUCACUAAUUAUAUGAGUAACUCUUUAAAAUAUCUCCACACAUAUGUUUCAUGUCCAAGUAGUAGAAAAAUUGUCAUUCCUGAUGGUUCUUUAAACACCAUUGCAGGAAAAGGUAACAUUAAGAUUAGUCAUAAUCUGAUUCUCGAGAGUGUGUUACAUGUCCCUAAUUUUAGCCACUAAAUUAUCAGAAGACAUGAAUUACAAAAUAACAUUUUCCCUUCUAAUUGUGACUUUCAAAAUUAGAAUUUGAGUUUCCAAUUAUAACUAUGAAUUAUUGAAAACAUAACUAUACUUCUUUUGUUGCUAUUAGAAAAUGUUACAUGCUUAUAUUUAGUACAUUCGGAUAUAUUGCAAUCCAAAUUUCUAUUAAAAAAAUCUUUAAUUUAAAAAUGAAACAUAAUCUUCAAAGCUGAACCAGAUGANNNNNNNNNNNNNNNNNNNNNNNNNNNNNNNNNNNNNNNNNNNNNNNNNNNNNNNNNNNNNNNAAAGAUUUUAUUAAUAGAAAUUUGCAUUGCAAUAUAUCUGAAUUUACUAAAUAUAAACGUGUAACAUUUUCUAGUAGUAACAAAAGAAGUAUAGUUAUGUUUUCAAUAAUUCAUAGUGAUAAUUGGAGACUAUCCUAAAUUUUUAAUAUUUAUAGAACUCGAUAGUUUGUGUCUUUUGUUGAUGAUUGCACAAAACUCAUAUGAUUUCUCCUACUUAAAUUAAAAUCUGAUGCGAGUCAUAUAAUACUUCAAUUUUGUAAUAUGAUAAAAACUCAAUUUGAAACCCACAUUAAAGAUUUCGAACUGAUAGUGCAAAGAUUUUUUUUCAAUCAAACAUUUUCAUCAUUCUUUUACCAUGAAGGGAUUAUUCAUGAAUUUUCAUGUGUCCACACUCCAUAAUGAAAGGGAGUGACAAAAUAAAAAAAUGGUGACCUUCUUGCUACUACACGACCUUUCCUAUAUCAGGAUAAUGUCCCAAAAUAUACUAAGGGGAAGCAGUUCUUCCUGACAUCUAUAUUGUAAACUGAUCACCCUAAAGUAUUUUGGAUUUUGAAAGUCCUGUGAAAACAUUCUCAAAAUUCUACCCAGAAUUAGGGACACAACUGUCUAGUCCCAAGAAUAUUUGAGAAGAAACUUGAUCUUGGAGCCUUAAGGUGCAUUUUUGUGGGGUACUUAUCUUCUGGAUGGGGGUACAACUACUACCAUCUACCAACGCAAAAAUUCUAUAUAUUUGUGCAUGUUACAUUUGUUGAGACAUUUUUAUUCUUCCUAACCUUAUCUUCUGCUGGAGCCUAUAUUGGAAGAUAAGGAUACUGAUUUUUGUUUGAACUCAACUUUCCAUCCUUACCACUUAUCUAAGCUCCACUUACACCGCCACAAGAAGUCCAUCGAAACCCACUAGAAAAUCAAUCUAUCAAGAAACCAUAUAGGACUCGAAAUUUAUUCAGGUGUACUUAAGGAGGAAGAAUCUGGGUUCUAAACUGAAACAGGUUCAAACACAUAAACAUGUUGACUUUAAAUAUUGCUCACAAUUAAUAUAGCACAGUAAAACAAAAUACAUUGAAGUUGAUGGACAUUUCAUUAAAGAGAAGUUAAAUAGUGGCCUGAUAUGUACAAUGUAUAUGCCUGCCAACUCAUAACUUGCAGACAUAUUGACCAAAAAUUUGAAUAUACUAUUAUGCCAAAUUACCAUUGUCGAGGUGGGAAUAGAUAAUGUCUAUUCCUCAGUUUGAGGGAGUGUUAAAAAAUGUACUUAAUGUGUAAAUAAUUAAGCUGAAUUAAGUUAAAGAACAUUGUGGUAAAACACAUCAUAUGUAUUUGAUUAUCAUUUCCUUUCUUAUCCUAUUUGUAUAUAUAAGGUCACAUUACUCAAUAAUAUACACAACACAUCAUUCUUGAAAAUGCUUGUCUCAAUCUUUUUAUGUCUUAAGCUGCUACGUUCUUCUUGAUAAGUUUCCCCCUUCCCUUACAGCAAUAGACUGUAGCCAAUUUCUUAAGUUUAUAUUUUGAGGACAAGUGCAUUUGGUGUAGGCAUCUUCAAUUCAUCCCUUAAAUUCAGAUUAGGUCGUCAAGGUUCUUUCUCUCACGCCACCUCUGGACUAGAAAUUGGUUCAUUCUUCAGUAUUGCGCAACCGUGUGUCCUUUCCCAAAUGCAGGCUUUUUAGUUGUUCUUGAGUUCAUUGGGUACUUAGAUGUCAAAAGACAUGUGCAUUAUAAUAGUAUCAAUAACUGUUCUCUUGAAACCUUGAUGUACUCGCAAGGCAGGAUCACAAAAUAGUGUUUUACCUGAGCCAGCUGCCAGUUAUCUGGCACUCAACAUGAUUAUGGGUUUUGAAGUGGUUUUCAGGUCACUUGUACGCCUAGGUCUUUUCCUCAAAGUUGCUUGUCAAUCACUUCGUCAUUAUCUCUAGCUGAUCUACUCCAUACCUGUAUAAGGGUGCUGGGCAUUAAUCGGUGAUUGCAGGGUCUAUCUGGGAACUUAAAGCUUCUGAAGGUUGAGCUUGAGCAGAGGCAGAGGAAAAGCCAGCGCUUCCAUUCCCCUCUCCAUCUUAUUGGGUGUUAAGAAAGAGCUUAAAUAAAUGGUUUUUGAUGGAAUAGAAAACCACCCAUUCAGAAGGUUAAAAUUUGUCCAGUUAUAUCCUUUACUCUUGUAUUAUGGGCCACACUCUCUCCAAUAGAGGAAGUUGUUGCUUGUGAUUCUUCGACUUGUUGGGUUUUUCAUGGGUUAUUCACCCUUCAGUGGAACGCUUAGUUAUGUGGAGAGGGGAUUUGAAGGUGGCUAAACCCCUGAGGAGAGGAGCAAUUUUUGCAUGGCUGUGGACUUUAUGGCUUGAAAGGAAUCGGUGAAUUUUUAACGAUUACUUUUACGCUGUUUAUUUAAAAAAAAAAAGGAACGAUUACUUUUUGACUAGCCUGAAUUUAGAGGAACAUAUGACUCUAUGGGUCACUUUACCUGUGCUUCACAGGAAUUGGGAUGCAAAAGCCUCAUAGUUCUAAGUGCGAGGACUUCUACUUCUUUUUGUUUUUAUUUCUUGUUAUGCUAUAUAGUUUUUAAUAUUUCUUUUUCUUUUUCUUUUUUUUUUCAGAUCUUCUAUAUGAAGGUCUUAGGGGGAUAUAUUAUUCUCCCAAUAUCUAAUUAUCUCUUUCUCUUCUUAUUAAUACUCCUUUUUCUAUAAAAAAAACACAACUCAUGGCAUACUUCUGGGAAUGUAUAAGGAAUUUCUUAGGAAGCAGUCUGAAACUGUAAAGAACUUGUCAUAUGGGAAUUCUCUUAGCUUCCAAACUGGCAAUGCAAUUAAAGCAAAUGAGCUUCUACCUGUGUCUCAAACAGUACUGCACCAAGCAUAGCACAGGCCUGUGGCUCUCAACAAGGUUCCAUCAGACCAUCAUCAUUCAAAACCUCCUUGUAUUUAUUACUUCCAUCAACCUUGAGUUGCAGGAAGCAUUUCAAAUUUACAUUGAGAAGGCCAUAUUACACAAAAUUGGAGAUUUUAUAUGCAGAUGUAUUUAUUCAAGAUAGUGUUUGAUGCAAUAAUGCAUUAAUACUUUGAAGAGAUUGACUUGAAUAGGCUUAAUAAAGUUGUAUACAUCAUAUGAGACAUUGAAAUAUAUUUGUAAUCAUGUCUUGGUGAUUUUUUGAAGAAACAUUAUGUCUUCUAAUCUUAGCAUCAUAUCUGGUAACCACUUUCUCUAGUUUUCAGUCAGAUUUCCUCUUGGAUAUGUUCUUCAGCCGUAAGAUUCUAGAGCUAAAUAGUUUUGGUUGCUUUUUCUUUUGAGGAACAAACGAUCUUGGUUGCUGAUUUGCUGUACUUUUUUUUCUUGAUAAUGUAAAGGCCCAUUCUGGGCUUCAACCUGAGCAUCCCCUGCAGUGAGGCCAGAACAUGACCACAAGGACAAAGUGAUCUGGUCGGUUAAUUUACUUAUUGUAAACUUGUUGACUUGUCAAACCAGAAAGCUAUCUUAUGACACAAAUGAUGGGAUAUCAAAUAUACUAGCAAUAAUUGUUGAAGCUUUUGUUAAGCAGCAAACCGCUGGACCCUUCUUGUCCACUUGUAAAUGUGAUAGAGCCAAGUGGAAGUACUCAUGAAGUAGGGCCUGAAUAAUUUUCAUGUUGAAUGUGAUUUCCUAUUUAUCAAUUUGAUUAUGAUUUUGAGUGAUAUAUUUUUCUCUUUUUUUGUUCUCAGGAAACUCUCCCUAGAUUAUCUCCUCGUCUUGGAGUAGAGCUCAUACAAAAGAAGAUAGCGGCUGCUUUGAGACAAUAAUGAGCCUUUCAUGACUAAAUAAUUCUAGAUGUGUUAUUUGGAAAACAAUAUAUAUUUGUCAAGAAGAGAUCUUCUAUUGUAUAUGGCAAUAGUCAAGUAAAUCUUAUGAGAAAUUUUCAAUUUUGAUAUACUAAGGCAUUUUACUUUUCAGUUCAUUUUCUGCAACAUAAUUUGUUUGCCAGCAGAAAAGAAAAAAGUAAUAUUCAAAUUGAAAUCAAUUUAAGUUGCAUCAAAACUACUUAUUCUCUCUGCGUCCUUUAAUUUCUUCUCUGUCUUUGUUUCUUUCCUCCAUUUUGUGUGGGUCAAAUGCAGUGCAAUUUACACUGUAUAAAAAGUGAAGAUCUAUGUGCUGGCAUGUUAUAUUCACACACAUAACGCAUUUGCUGCCUUUGACCAGUCCAUUAGUUUAAAGGAUAUUGACAAGAACUUGUGCUCGGGUUGCUUUGGUUCCAUGUCCAUCAACUCCUUUUUCCUUUAUGUUAUGCAUGGCUAAGUUUAUCCGUGUUUAUCAUCUGUUUACUAAUACUUGUUUUUGGUUUGAUGGUAGUAAAUGUAUUUACUUGGGCAAAAGAAGUGAGACGAAAAAGGUGGUCAUGCCAACCUGACACUGCCGAGUGAUUCAGAUAAGCCUGGCUUUUCUUAGCUCUAUUUUGUUCCUGCUUUGGUGACUUUUAGUUAAAUGAUUCAUGAGUUGUGAGAUUAGUAGACCACUACUUGAUGUGAUUUUUGUCUUCUUUCUUAAAUUAGCACAUAUAAGGUCUGCCUGCAUUAAUUUAGAAAAGUGAGGUUCGUCAAAAGUUAUGAAUCCAAUUGAUUGAUUCUAGGCCCCAUCACCUACGUGAAAGAGAGCUUGAUUCUUUUUUCCUUUAUAUUUAAUCUCUAGAGAAUGCAACUUACUUUUCAACUAAAUUUUCUUUAAAAUACCAAUUUUGAAUCUCCAUCACUACAUUAUCUGCAUUUUGUUAAGAUUGACACUGGAAUCAAAUUGUCGUAGGAAUCUCUCUUCAACCCUACCCCUGUAUAAAAGCUUCCGUUAGUGAGAGGCUAAAGUUCUUCCAUAUUUGGAAUUGGAUUUCAUUUCUGAAGAAUUUAUAUCCUUUAUUUGACAUACACACACACACACACACACACACACACACACACACACACACACACACACACACACACAAUUAUAUUUGGUCAAAAUUUUGGUUUACUAUUUGCUCCCCACAUUCUUUAUGAUCUGAAUAUGGAAUGUGACUGAUUAAUGCAAGGAACCCCAACGUGCCGGGCACGCCUUGUUGAGAUUAGUUUUUUGAAAUUCCUCAUUUUCUUUAUGAAGAGAAAAGCACCUUUUUACACUGGUUUCUUUUUUUCUUUGAGUAGGAAAGAAACUAAAUUAUUAUAGAUGAUCAUAAAGAAAAUUUCCCCCACUUUAGAUUGCCUCAUGCUUUAGAGCAAGAAGAUACAUCUUCUCUUCUCUUUAAUUAUAUCUCGCACAUUGUCUUCUAUGUUCUAUACGCAAGUCUCUUAUUAUUAUAUGAUUAUUCUCGAGCUAUAGUAUGAUCCCACUUAAUGCUUUUCAAAUUUCUCUUUAGUUCUGAGUGGAUUUUAGGUUAAGUUGGAAAAUAACAGUACCCUAAUAAUAUAAUUAAUGAUAAUAGUUAAUUAAUUAAACAAACCUUUUGCUUAAUGAUUAAAGUUUCAUAUAGAUUUUGUAUCUAACAUUUGUCUAUACUACUCGAUUUGAUUAGAUACAUCGAUGUGUUUGUGGUGUGUGUACACACAUACAUAUACACGUUUGAUUUAUUAUCAGAACCCCUACUUGUGUCGUUAUUUGUAUCAAUUGAAGUGUAUAUUUACAUUGUCUAAGAUUAAUAUUAAACUGUAAAUUAGAUUUCCAAUCGAAAGAGGUUUACUUUAAAUUAUUUACCUUCUUUCCUCAUCCAUUAAAGAAAGUUAUAUCUAGGGUUCAUUGUCAUUUUCAUUGGCACUAAUCUAAUCUAAUCUAAUUUUGACGCUGCUUUACUAGUCAUUUGUACUGAUAAUUGUUGUCUUUUUUUUUUAAAAAAAAUGUAAACCCUUUCUUCACUUGAAUCUUUCGACAAAAAUGAUACCAAAGUUUGGAUUAAUAUUUUUAUUAUUUAAUUUCAUUACAAUAUUAGAAGAAAAAAAAAGUUCAAUUCUAUAAUUUUACUUGAAAUUUUCAGAUAAUCCUAAAAUUUAUUUAAUGUUAAAGUUUAAAACAAAUCUAGAAAUCACAAAUUAAAGUGCCCGAUUUAGUUUAGUACUUGAAGGUAUUUAUGAACAGAAAAUGUGUUAAAAUAUAAAUACGUUACAUUUUAGUAAAAAUUUAUAAUUAGUUUUUGAUUUUAAUAUUUCAAUCAUUAUGUAAUGAACAAAAUAAAAAAGAUUCAUUUGUCAAGCAAAAGAAAGAUUGGUGGUGGAGGGUUUGAUAAUGAUACGAGUGGUUGAAGCAAUUACAACAAAUUAAAGUAAAGGAAUUGAAAUUUCAAUGGUUUGCUUUAAACACACACACACACAUAUUUAUAUAUUUAUAUAUUUAUAUAUGCAUGCUGAAUAUGAAUCAACGAUACACGGCAUUAUGCAUGGACUGUUGCUUUUCUUCCAUGGCAGAAUUUUAAAUUGAAAACUCGAUGCAUUUAAUUCUAUUUAUGCCUAAAUAAUUGAACCCACAACCACCAUCAUAUAUAUAUACACAUAUAUGUAUAUUUUUUCCCAUUCACGAUAGGUUUAAUUAUAAACCUCCUGACCCGUUGAAAUACUAUUUAUGUAUGUACGUGUAUCAUCAGUCAUAUGUAAGAAUCAUAUAUGAAUAUAUGCCUGUCGUAAUUAACGAGAUGAUCGUAUUUUUCUGAAGAUGUAUACUACUUAGAACAGUACCUUUAUAUAUAUAUAUAUAUAUAUAUACACACACACACACACACAUAUACAUACAUAUAAAGGAGUAAUAAUAGAGAACUAUCCCAGGAGAUGAGAAUGAAUUCACUUUAACUUGGCAAGUGAACAAGGAAGCACUUAACCACUGUGGCCUUCGUCUUUAUAUCACCACUUCAAAUAAUUAUAAUGCUGAAUCCUGGUCUUCUUCGUCCCAUGUAAUUAUCUUUUACACAUACAUAUGUAUUAUAUAUCUGUACAGUUGAAGUACAGUUCUAUCAGAUAUGAAAAGUAAAAACAAAAGAUCCAAUCAUGAGAUGCAAGUGCGUUGUACAUUAUGUGGAUGACAGAUCGAAAGAUCUUUUGGAUAUAUUGGUAUGGGAAACUGUUCGAAAAUGAUACAAUAAUGAAUCUUAUUACGUACAAAUAGUAGACACAUUUCUAUAUAUAUAUAUAUAUAUAUAUAUAUGUACAUGUAUGUAUGUAUGUAUUUACAUGUAUGCAUGUAUUUUUAUUUACAAAUUAGAUUAUUGACAACAAAUUACAUAAAUUAAUUAAUUAUAUUUGAUUCACCGUUAAUUAAAAUUAUAAGUGUAUACAUAUUCCACCUUUGUUCGAUGAAAAAAUUAAACCAUUAUUUUCAGUUCUAUACACCAAGUUUGUAACUAUGGUUGUUAAUUAAAUGAAGUUGUGAAUUUGUGAAAUUAAGGAAUCCAACAUCACUAAUAGUUAUGAUGUAUAAUGACAUGAUCCUCAUCCCCUAUAUGUAUAUCCCUAUCCACAACCACAUCUCCAAAAUCCCACAUACGAACUUAGGUGCUUUCCACCUCCAACUCAACAAUCAUAAAAACUAAUUAAAUAUACAAGAGAAAGAGUCCUGUGAAUGAACAGGCAGAUAGAGAUCACUCAUGAAAGCAAAAGAAAUUGGUCCCUGAAUUAACUAAUUAAUAUUUAAAAGUAUUUUUAUAUAUCAUCAAUAAAAAUACCUUUUUUUUUUUCUAUUUCAGGGUGUUUAUGUAUAUAUGUACGUAGUAUAUCUAGAGGAAGACAUGGGUAUGGGUGCAUAUAUAUAUAUGUGUGUGUGUGUGUGUGUAUAUAUAUAGUGUGAGAAACAGUUGAAGUGGGUGUAAGGUGUAAGGUGUACGAGAUUAAUUACUAUGGGAAAUUUAAGAGGAAUUUUUGAAAAGGUUAAGCCGUAUGUACUUAUGGUGUGUCUGCAAUUUGGGUCUGCUGGUAAUCUCAUAAUCAGUAUGGCCACUCUCAAUCAUGGCAUGAACCGCUACGUGCUCAUCGUCUAUCGCAAUGCUAUUGCUGCACUCGCACUUGCUCCUUUCGCUCUUCUUCUCGAAAGGUUCCUUAUAUAUAUAUUUAAAUUAAGAUUUAUAUGUUUUAUUAAUUAGAUAGUACUAAUGUGUUAAUUAUAAUAUGAUUAAUAAUAAUAUAAUUUGUUAAUACUAACACACGUAAUCUUAUAUAUAUAUAUAUAUAUGUGUGAUAAAUUUUGCAGGAAAGUGAGGCCGAAGAUGACAUUGAAAAUUUUCUUCCAAAUAAUGAUCCUCGGAUUUCUAGAGUAAUUGCUUCUCCCCCACAUCUAUUAUAUUCUUAAAGUAUAUACAUUUUAAAUUAUUAAUUAUUAUAUAUAUAUGUAUAUAUUGGUUAAUUAUAAUUAAAUGCAAAGGUGAUUAGAGGAGAUGUUAAUUAAUUAAUUAAUUCGCAGGCCAAUCAUUGACCAAGGUUUCGGCUACUUGGGGAUGCAAUUCACAUCAGCCACAUUUACAUCUGCAAUUAUGAACGCUGUGCCCUCUAUUACCUUCAUAAUUGCUGUCAUUUUUAGGUAAUCACGUACCUUCAUGCAUAAUUAAUUACACUGCACAUAUUUUGCUAAUAAUUAAUCAACAUGUUAGUUAGUUAAUUAAUUAAUCGAAAAUAAGCAGAUUAGAGAGAGUAAAGAUGAAGGAAGUGAGGAGUCAAGCGAAGAUGAUUGGGACACUUGUAACAUUCGGAGGAGCUUUGCUUAUGACGCUAUACAAAGGCCCUGUCCUUAAUCUACCCUGGUCAAAAGACACCUCCCCUCACGGCACCUCUUCUCACAACCAUACAAACUGGGUUGCCGGCACACUCCUAAUUCUUCUGGGUUGUGUUGCAUGGUCCUGUUUCUACGUCUUACAAGUAAUUAUACAUAUACCACUUAAUUUAAUCAAUCCUAUGAUUACGUAUAAACUAUCUUAACUAAACAUGUUUUAACUUAAUUUAAUCCAGUCUAUAACGAUUAGCAAGUACCCGGCAGAGAUCUCACUAUCAUCGUUGAUAUGUUUGGCCGGCACCUUACAAAGUGCAGCCAUUGCGGUGGUUGUGGAGCGUCGAUCUAGCGGAUGGGCUGUUGGCUGGGAUUCCAGGCUUUUUGCACCCUUAUACACUGUAAUUAUAAACUACUCACCAUUCUUUCUUUUUAUAUAUAACAAAUUAUUAUUAUUACUAUCUCGAACUUAAAUUAUAAGUUUUUACAAAAAAGGGAAUAGUGAGUUCGGGAAUUACGUACUAUGUACAAGGAGUCGUGAUGAAGACGAGAGGGCCGGUGUUCGCAACAGCAUUUAACCCUCUUUGCAUGAUCAUCGUAGCUGCACUCGCUUCUGUUAUCCUAGCCGAACAAGUUUACUUCGGAAGGUAUUUGUUUAAAAUUAGGAACUAAUCUUGGAUUAUUCUUUAACUCACAAGUAAGAAAUGAUUAUAAGUACUAUUAAUUUGAUGGUUAAUUUUAAUAAUGACUUAUUGCAGUGUGAUUGGAGGAGUGAUAAUAGCAAUGGGUCUAUACUGCGUCGUUUGGGGUAAAAACAAAGAUUACUCUUCCCCUACGAAGGGUUCUGCCAUUGAUCAUCCCCAACAGCAAGAAUUACCAGUUACGACUACUAAGGCACCAUCAACUCCUUGAUGAUUUGGAAGUGAAACAAAUAUGUAUCUGCAUUUGUAUGUGUAUAUGUAUUUUAUUGCAUGGUUUUUAUAAUCGCGUCAAAUACAUCAACAUGUAUCCAUAUAUAUAUAUAUAUAUAUUAAUUUUUCUUGAAAUUUAUAUUAUGAGAAAAUUAAUGGAAACGCUUAAACUAUCGUCCACAUGAGCUCAAUAUUUCGUUCAGUUCGUAUUUUCCAUCAAGGAACUUAAUCAAGUACUUGCAAGUCCACAGAAAAUGGAUUGUCGGUGAAUAAUAAUGCAAUUCCAACAUGGGUUUUCCUAUAUAUUAAAAAAAUAAAUAUAUGUGAAAAACCAUGUUGGAAUGUGAAAUAGGAAAGAUAAAUGCAUAUAUAUAUAUAUAUACACCCACAUACAUGUAUAUAAUCAGUUCAGGUGUGUGAAGCCAACAUAGAAUCUAGCUUUGUUUUCCACUAUGAGAACACCUGGCGGGCAUUGCUGACUUAAGAUGGUGGGUCACUGUAUAACAGUAGAGCCCAAAAACACAGUUCUCUCUCUCUCUCUCUCUAUAUAUAUAUAUAUAUUGGAUUAUGGCAAUUUUUUAACCAAAAUCGGACAGGAACCGGACCAGUUGUGUGAAAGUGGCCGCCACUAAUCAACCAGGCCAAGUUCUGGUGAUUUCCAAAAACUUCCAUCUAUUCCUCAUCAAAAAAUUUUAAGACUAUUUAUUCAAAAUGUGUAAAUUCAAAAUCUUUAAAAUGCAAACUGUAAAAGUUGAUGAUUAAAAAUAAAAAUUUUGAGUAGGUCUGCUACUAAAGUUGGGAUCAAGAUGUCUGUGUUUUUUACAUUAAACAAAAAUAUCAUUAAUUAUUUUUGAGAAAAGUAAUAAAUUAUUAUGUACAUACAUACAUACAUACAUACAUACAUAUAUAUAUAUAUAUUGUAUCAUAAGGUUACAAAAAAUGAUGGAGAACAUGAUUGAAAACUUUCUGAAUAUCGGUCUCUGUCCAUAUGUGAUGCGAUAUUCUAUCAUUUUCAACUUUACUUUUCUCCUCUGUUUGGAUGCAAAUUAACAUGAAAAAAAAAAAGCACUUAUGACGAUGGAGAAUAAAAGAUUCCUCCAAUUAUUCUAUAUAUACAUAUUCAUUAAUUAAUUAUUUAUAAUUAACUAAUCCAAAUUAAAUAUUUAUUGGUAUGGAAAUCAAGAUCGUUGCAUGGGCGUUGGUGAUUUUCUUUGACGUGUAAUUUACAUGCAAAGAUAAUCACAACCUUGUAUAUUAUUAAGUUUUUUAUUUUAAUUAAAUUAUUAUUAUUAUUAUUAAAUUUUAAAAUAUUAAUGGUUGCCUACCUACUAUAAUUAUUAGCUUUCCAUAUCUAUACAUUGCUUCCGAUUUGUAAGGUGGUAUUCCACUACCCUUAUUUUUCUUUUUGUUGGAAUCCGAACACGAAACCACCAACUUUUUUAAUUGUCUCCCCAUCUGUUUUUAUACUCAUCUUCAAUUAUACACUCACACACACAUACAUAUAUAUAUAUAUAUAUAUAUAUAUAUAUAUAUUCUGAUAGAAUUAAUAUAUAUAUUUCUUUGAAAAUAACUUCAGAUUAUUCAAAAAUUGUUACAUUAAUUCACACGUCGUCACAAAGAAUUAUUGCAUAUGUAGAGUAUCUGUUCAUCAGUGAUUUUCGUUGAUGCAUAUAAUUUUAGUGGUCCACUUCCAAUUUUUGUCAAAAUUAACGUUUCAAAUUAGUAGAUUUUACAUCUGCUUACGUCUAUGACUAUACGUAUAUAUAUAUACCCAAUAAAAUAUUUGUUUUAUAUUACUUUGUCGAUCUAAAUUAUUACAUAUUAUCAACGAGCACUCUAGAAGAAAGUUUUACAAGUAGAACAACUAACUAGUUAUACUUUUAUUAUGACAAUAACAACUGAGAGAAGCGUAUAUAUAUUGGGCAAGCAAUAGCACAUAAAUAUAGUGAGUGACACAAAUCGUACAACUCGUAAGUUGCUUGAAGAACUUACUUAAGGAUUAACAUCACUGCACUAAUCUGAUUUGGUAAUUGGAUUAAUUAAGAUCAGAAUAUAUUAAAGGGGAGUGUAGAAUCAAAUUGAUAGCAAUUAAGCAACCAUGUGAUUUAAUUAAUGGUAUCCAACUCUUGAUACCACCAUAUGUCGUCAUCCUCGAGCAUUAAUCUUUAAUACGAUUUGGUGGUCAAUAAAUCAAAUCCCCCCUCCCCUCCACUUAAAUUCCCAUAUUUAAUAAUCUUUAAUUUAACUAAAUAAAUUAAUUAAGAAAUAAAAAGAGAGUGUGAUUAAUUUAAUCGUAUGUGGAUGGAGACAGAUGGAAUUAAUUAACACAAAUUAACUUCUGUUUAACGAUGAUAAUCCCGCAAAUUAACUUCCAGCAAAGUGAAAGAUUCUAGGCAGCUUGUUGGAAUAUGGGGCUGUUAAUGGAUAAAGAAUCUCAAAAUAAAUUUAGGAAGUCAUCAUCCUGAUGGAAAACUAAGAGAUGAGGGGAAUCUAUUCAUUUCAUCCUAGUUAACAGAAGCCUACACUAGAAAUAGAAUAUAUGGCCUCGAUACACACACACGCAUAUAUAGAAUAUAAUAUAAUUUUAGAUGGGUUAGUGAAUAAAGUUUGAAAUCAAUGUAUCUUACUAUAUAAUAAAAAUAUUAUAUCUAAAUACAUAUAUAGUUUAUUAUCAGUCUUGUAACUUUCAUGGCAAGAGUAUUUCAAGUAACUUAUUUUGUGGCAAGAAUAUUUUAAAUUUAUUCUUAAUUCCUUUGUAACUUUAUUCAUAGAUCUUAAUUGUGUUGUGUAUUGUCAAUCAUUUAUUGACGUGAUAGAUGAUAUCUCAUUUUAUUUAUAAAAGAUUACGAGUAUAUUUUUAUUAUAAAAUUAUAUUAUAAUUAAUGUAUAUAUAUAUAUAAUUUAAUUAAUAAAAUAUAUAAAUUUUUACUUAAAAAAAUUAUAUUGUAUCUGAAAAACAAAAAAACUAUAUCUUAAAUUCAACCAUGUUGAAAAUAAAACAGGUAUAAAAAGAAUUAGAGUAUUUUAAGAGAUAUUUAAGUUAAUUAAUAUGGGUAAUAAUUGUUUUUUUGGACAUAUGGUGUGUGGAAAGUGUGAGAAAUAGUGGGUGGCUCUGUGUUUUGCUUUUAAUGGGAUAUAUAAAUAGACCAUAUCUCCAUUCUAGUUAUCUGCAGCAGCCAAAGAGAGAGAGAAGUGUAAGCUAGUAGCUUCCUUGCAAAAUUAGAAAGAAAGUAGAAGGACAUGGGAGAAGUAAAGGGAAGUGAAAUGUUGUUGAGGAGAUUAAACAAAAUUAAGCCCUACUUGGCUAUUUUGUCUCUGCAAUUUGGAUUUGCAGGGAUGUAUGUAAUUAGCAUGGUUUCUUUGAAGCACGGAAUGAGCCAUUUUAUUCUCGCCACCUAUCGUCAUGUUGUUGCUACCCUCGUCGUUGCUCCCUUUGCUUUUUUUCUCGAAAGGUCUUCUUUUUUUUUUUCAUCGGUUCAUAAUUUUUCAUUCUUCACCCAAAAUUAUACCUCUCGCUUACUUAAUGAAUCUUGUGUUCUUAACUUUUGUUACAGAAAAAUCAGGCCGAAGAUGACCCUUCCUGUUUUUCUUAGAAUUAUUGCACUCGGUUUCCUCGAGUAAUCCUCUACUCUUCCCACCUUUAAAUAUUCAACUUCAGUUGAUUAAUUAUUUCACCAAACUGAAAUAUAUAUAUAUACACACACACUACGUUUUUUUAAGUUAAAUUAGUUCGUCAGCAAGAAAUUGAUUUUAUAAAUAAAAUUUGGUUAUAUAUUUAAUUAGUGUGGUUAUUAUGGAGCAGGCCAGUGCUAGACCAGAACUUAUAUUAUAUGGGGAUGAAGGCCACUUCAGCGACGUUUGCUUCAGCUUCUGCCAAUGUCCUUCCCGCCGUUACUUUCAUAAUGGCUGUUAUUUUCAGGUAUUGAAUAAUUUUAAUGUCUAUGCGAAUAAAAAAAACUCAUCAACUUUUUUUUAAUGACUAAUCGGGUCAUUAGCUUUGGUGAAGAUAAAAUUACGUUUUACUUUUUACUAUUCUAAUUUUACUGAGUUAAUUUACAAUAUUAAGGUUAAAUUUUUUUAACAAUUGAAGAAAAAAAAUUUGAAAAUGUUGAUGAUUAGGUUGGAAAGAGUUAAUUUGAAGAAGGUGCACAGUGUAGCAAAAGUGAUAGGAACAGGAAUCACGGUAGGUGGAGCAAUGAUCAUGACAUUAUACAGAGGACCCAUCGUUGAGUUCUUCAAGUCCGGUGGAGUCAGCCACCAUGCAGCCGCCGCCACCACCACCUCCGAUGGAUCCUCCGACCAGCAUUGGGUCACCGGAACUCUCAUGCUCCUAGCCAGUUGCUGUAGCUGGGCUGGCUACUUCAUUUUGCAGGUAAUUAUACAUUUUUAAAAUUUUUUAAUUAACGAUAAUAUUGAAUUACUGGAGUGAUUAAUAAUUUUGAUUCUUGAAUGGGUAAUUUGUGAUCAGUCAUUUACGUUGAAGAUGUAUCCGGCGGAGCUGUCUCUUGCAGCAUGGAUUUGCCUGAUGGGCAUGGUGGAAGGUGCGAUUGUCUCCCUUAUUAUGGAACGUGACAUGAGUGUCUGGAUAAUUGGUUUUGACUCCAGGCUUCUUGCUGCAGCUUACUCCGUACGUAUAUAUUUCUAUAUACAUAUAUAUAUAUAUAUGUAUAGACACAAUAUUCGAUACUUACAAUGGGUAUAACUACUUUUUUGUUAGAUUCCAAAAUAUGUACAUAACCAAACUGAGCAUCUAAUAAUAUCAAGUGUAUAUAUUGUAAACAAGUUGAUGCACUGUUAAGUAAUGAUUCCUUUUCACUUGAGUAGUACAUAUAUAUAUAUGGCUAUCACAAUAUAUUCUGUCGUAAAAUUAUAUCUAUAUAUGUGCACGUAUAUAAUUUAAUUAUUAAAAGUGAAUAAUAUAGGGGGUGGUGUGCUCUGGAAUGGCAUAUUACGUGCAAGGAGUUUUAAACAGGCAGAGGGGACCGGUGUUUGUAACAUCAUUUAGUCCUCUUUGCAUGAUCAUCACUGCAGCUCUUGGAGCCAUUGUGUUAGCCGAGAAAAUCCACCUUGGCAGGUAAUUAAAUUAAUUACUAAUGAUGGGUUUAAUUAAUUAAUUAAUUAAUUGACUAAUUAACUAACUAAUGAUGGUAUUAAUGUAAUGGACCCGAUCAGCAUAAUCGGAGCGGUAUUUAUAGUGUUGGGACUGUACACGGUGGUGUGGGGUAAAAUCAAAGACCGUCGAAACGAAGAUACGAAUAAAUUUGGCGAUCAAGAAUUGCCGGUAACGAGUAAUUACGAAAAGACCAACGACGCCAACAACAACAACAUCACUCCGGCGACAACAUAACAUCUCUCUCUCUCAUCUCUCAUCUUUUGUAAUCAGGGCUGCCUGCUAUCUAUAUUUUCCUAAUUUUUCUUUUUCUUUUUUUGUUUCAAGGUAAGAUGAUAUUCAAACAUAUGUAUUUACCUUGUUACUUUUACUUUUUACUGUUGAGAUUUCAAUGCAAGUAAUUGAAGUAAAUCACCAAUUUUACUUUCGUUUACAGUGCUCCUGUUUCAAAUUCUGAAACUAGCUUGUCUUGGUCCCUUGGGUCAGUUUCUGCAUGAAAUAAGACCCAGUUAAGUCUUAACAAGACAAGAGAUUAAUUGUAUUUCAUUACUAAAAUUAAAUUUUCUUUAUAAAAAAAAACAAAAACUCAAGAAGGACGUAUAACGUCGGCGAUGGAAGCUGGGAGAAAAUUCUCUGAGAGAAAAUGUAAUCUACUAAACAAAAGUAUGAACAAGAAUAAGAAAGUAAAUGGGCCGACAUCUUUUGAUAUCCAAGCAUUCUUGAUGAGAGUCCAUGGAUCGAACUAAGUACUGGAUCUUUUAGAAAUUCCCUAAUUCGAGAUUAAAAAAAAAAAGGGGGGGGGGGGGGGGGGGGAGCAUUUCCCCUGCCUGUGAAGCUGGUAGUGAUGAGGAGAGAUUAAAGAGACUGACAUCCAUGAAUCCGAUCAUCAUAGUCAAACUGAUUAGACAGACGAAUCACGAAUUUCAACUUAUUCGGUUUAAAUUAUCAAUUUCCCCCGCAACCCAUAUGGUGAUAUGCAUUUAGUUGAAAUGGGUAACCAUCUCUUCUUCUUUUUGUUUCAAUCCUUCUAAAAUUUGAACACAAAGAGGACGGCAUUAAAGUUCUCCGAAAAACUCCGGCUAAUAAAUGGUCGAUUCUUCGUGAGCUUUCGCCCGACUCCAGCUCGAAUUUGGAGCUUUCUCCAAUGGAUUUCUGCCAAGUAGCGGCCCUGCUACCCUGCCAAGCCCUUCUCCUUGCUCUCUACUUUCAUUUCGAAGGUGGAUCAAAAAAGAGAUUUUCACCCUUCCCCAAAAAAUGGUGUCGUCCCCGAGGAGAGUAAGUGAAUGGGCUGAGCUAGAUUUAUGCGUUCUGUUGGGCCGGAAUCGGGCUUCGUAAGGAACGGUCUGUGUUUGCGUGUUGUAAGACUUGUAUUUGGGUUGGGUUUCAAUUAAGGUGUGCUCUAUUUAUUUAUAUUUGGGCUAAAAUUGAGGGGUCGAACUGGAUUAGGUUCUGGGCAUUGAAUAAAAUAGAAAUGGGAGAAAAUGGAAGUGGGUUUUAAACUUUAAAGAAACCAGAUAUAUGCGUAUGCAUAUAUAGUGUUUUAGGCAUAAUUUACAAAUAUGUGGAUGAAGAUUUUCCGCAAUUGUAUGAGUUUCUUUAGAACAAAUAAUUAUGAUGAGGUGAGACACAUAGAACGAGAGAGAAAGAUUGGUCAUUCCUGUUGAUGUGCUGUAAAGCACGAUAAUGAAGAAACGGGAAAUUGUGAUGUGGAUCAUACAAAAAAGCUCUCUCAGUUGCUGUCAUUCAAUCCAUAAAUAUGCAGGAGAAGAAUUAUAUAUUCACUAUCUUAUUAUGUUUCUCUUGUUAUCAUUUGCUUUAAUAUUUCCCCUCUAGUGGGAAGAUAAUUCUUAACCGCAUCUUUUCAUCUUAAUUCUGUACCUAUCAUACACUUCUCUCUCUCUCUCUCUCUCUCUCUCUCUCUCUAUAUAUAUAUAUAUAUAUGCAUAUCAAUGAUAUAAUAUAUCUAAUCAUACAAUAAUUAGUUAAACAUCAAGGGAAAAAUGACGUUUUCAUGGCUGCUUACCUACUAUGAUAAAGUUUACUUGCCAUACAUGAUUAAAAAAGUUAGCUACCCAUUAAUUUUUACGAGGUGCUUCACUAACUUAAGUUUUUAGAAAUUGGAAUCCAAACACGAAAGCACCAACUUUAGUUGCCUACCCAUGUAUUUUAACACUCAUUUGCCCAAAAUAUUAUUAUAUACAUUUCCUACUUUUUUUCUAGUACUAACAUAUGUGUGUGUGUGUGUGUGUGUGUGUGUGUGUAUAUAUAUAUAUACCAAUGUCCAAAAGCAAAAGUAUGCAUACAUAUAUAUAUAUAUAUACGUGGAUACAUACAUGUGAUUAUGGCAAUCUUAUUAUAUGUCUCUUAUAUCUUUUUUAGUAAAGUUUCAGCAUUAUUCGUUUAGAGUUAUCCAAUGUUAUCCAAUAUUUUAACUGCAAAUUAUUUAUGACCCAUGACCCGAACCUAACGCAUGAUGUUCAUCAUUCGUUGUAAUAUUAAUAUAAUAUUAAUGUACGUGAACUGUGCAUAUAAGGUCAGAAAUGGCAGCCAUUGAUGCUCCUAAAAUUUAUGUCCCCAUUAAAAAAUAUACUAAUUUUCAGUACAUUUGCUUUAGUACGGUUAGAAAUCACUAUUCUCCGCUUCACAUGAAUCAGCAUGUCAGUAAGAAAUAUACCUAAAAAAUUAUUCAGCUACCAAGCGAAGAACAAUAAGCAUAUGCUUUCUUUGAUCUUUACAGCUCUUCUUCUUUCAGAUAUAUGCUUUAUAGGCAACUAGAGUUUUUUAAGAUGCUCAUCAUCACAUGCUAAACCAAUACUAUCUAAUCAGCUAGGUAUAUGAUGUGUGUGUGUGUGUGUGUGUAUAUAUAUAUAUAUAUAUGAACGUAUCAAGUAGAUAGGGUAUAUGUCUGAUACAAGCGUAUAUAUGUAUAUGGUUUUCUUUGAUAUAUUCUUUUAAACCUUGAUUUAAUUUCUCGUAAAUUAAUCCUAAAGGCCUCUUUACCUAUCAUCAAAUUAAAGAUUUAUGUGCAAGUUCAAGAAUAUUUUUACAUUACUUACAUGUAUAUAUAUACAUAUACGUAAAUACGUAAAUACACGUAUAUGUACAUAUAUGGUAAGGUGAGGUAAUCGAACUUUUAAUUUCAGAAAUGCUAUCCACUCUUCAUAGCACCUAUAGAAAUAGAGGCUCCACACCGACACCGCAUGCAUUUGCAAGCAUUGUCUUGGAGCACUAAGACCUAUUGCCAUUUGCUGGUAGUUAUUAUAUAUAUAUAUAUGUAUGUAUGGUAUGUAUGUAUGUAUGUAUAGGUAUUUAUAAUUAUCACUCUUUUGUACAUAUUAAAUAAGUUGAAUUAGGUCGCACCUGACAUGCUAUGCAAUAAUAUAUAUUGGAUUAUUUUGUCUUUGCAUGGAAGUGAGGUAUGGAAUAAUUUGGUGAUUAAUGAUUUUUUUAGAAAAACCGUGUCACAACGGGAGUGGUCACGUGGGUUUUGCUUUAUAUAUAUGUAUAUGUAUGUAUAUAUAUAUAUUAUUAUCUGUUACUUAUAUUCUGAUAGAUCUUAAUUAUCAAUCAUUUAUCUCUUCUGAUAAGCUAACCCAUCAUUUUAGGUUUAAGUCAAUUAUAAAAUUUUAAAAGAUUUUUAUAGAAAGAAAAUUUGGUGAUGCUAGUUUGGUAAAAAGAUUAAGCCUUAAUUAAGUUAUUAUAUUAAUUAAUACGAAACUUAUGGAUAAUUGGUGUUACGGAAGAAUGUAAUGCCGUACGUGCCCAAAGAUUAAUAGUUGCAAAGAUACUUCAUGGUGGGAGAUUAGGUUAGGUUAAACCUUUUUUUUGUCAAAUUUAUAUAGUCUAUAUACAUAUAUAUAUAUAUAUAUAUAUAUAUUACACAGAUACUAGCUAGUUAGAUAUCAAAUAUAAAUCUAAAGGCAGGUGAAAGUCUUAAUUUGAGAUCAUAUUGUAAAAUUUGUGAAUAAAUUAAUCUGUUAAGAACAUAUAAUUAAAUAAAUAAGUUGUAUUAUGUUUUAAAAAUUAAAAUUCUAAAAUAAUUCCAUAAGUACAAUCAAUUAUGCAAACUCAUACGUAUCUAAUAGAUUACAAAUUAAUAUCGUCUUAUAUAUAGUACAUAAUAAUUAGAACAACCAAAAAAUGCAUAACUAAUAUGCUUUAUCUCUUGUUGUUUAUCCUUAUAUAUAUAUAUACAUAUAUAUAUAUUGCAAAUAGUUUGGUGCAUGUGAUAAUUAGUUUUCAUUUUACCUAAAAUUAUCAUUUAAAAAAAAAAUUAUUUAUCAUCUUAUAAUACGUAGUAUUUCAAUUUUAAUUUAUUACAUUUUAAUUUUUUAUAUAUCCGUAUUUAGAAGCUAAGACAAAUAUAUAUUAUAUAUGCGAUAUAAAAGAAUAAAAUAUGUAUAAUAAUAAAAAAUAAAACCAGAAACUUAUUAAAUAAUUAAAUAAAAAAUUUUAAAAAAUUAUAUAUAUAUAUAUAUAUAUAAACUAAUAGAGACGAACAUGCAUAUUAAGUGAAAAAUUAUAAUCAUAUACAAAACCAUGUUACAUGUGCUAAUUAAAUUGAUAAUGGAGAUAUCUUUUUCAUUUUGGGUAUAAUGGGAUCUAUGUUAUAUGUCUUUAUAUAUGUUUCGUGUGUGUGAGUGUGUGUAUAUAUACAUAUAUAUAUAUAUAUAGAUAUGCAGAUCUGAGAUGUGAGGUCAUCAUAUAAAGAAUUAAAAAUCAGAAAGAAAAAAUAGAAAAGAAGGGAGAAAAAGUUAGCUUUAGUAUAUUCAGAGAGAUACUAAGAGUAACUUUCUACAGGUAAGGAUAUUCUAUUUGAUUGGAAUAUACAGAAAUUAGGAUAAUAUCAUAUAAUACUAUUUGUAUUGCAUAAAUGGAUCAGAAGAAUCUUUGCCCAUACAAUAAUUUUUCUAAAUCAGAGAGACAAAGAAAAAAUUGCAUGACGUGUGAUUUUAAUAUAUAUAUAUAUAUAUAAUAUAUAUGUAGAAUAAUGGGGUGUGUAAUAAUUUCCUCCUAUAAAAACCACCCUGCAUCUCCUCUCCUUGUCAUACCCACAACAAGUACAUGAGCAGCGUGUACCGCCUCUGAAACUCGUACAAAACAAAAAGAAAGAGAAAGGAUGUUCAAUACGGUGCCUUUAAUCCUGAAAAAGAUGACGCCAUACCUGGCAAUGGUGUCAAUGCAGUUUGGAUACGCAGGGAUGUAUAUAAUCACCUUGGUGUCUUUGAACCGGGGCAUGAACCAUUACAUACUUGCUGUGUAUCGUCAUGCCAUUGCCGCCCUUGUCAUGGCACCUUUCGCUUUAAUUCUUGAGAGGUCUCUCAUCCAUCUACCUUUUCUCCAUUCGCCUCUUCCAUUCUUAUCUAUCUAACAUGUAUACGAUAUACACACAUAUAUUUAUGUAUUUCUUAUGUUUAUAAUUAAGGAUAUUUAAACUUACUGGUGCUUGCUUGGUUUUUAUUGCAGGAAAAUAAGACCGAAGAUGACGUUCCCCAUCUUCCUAAGAAUAAUGUUGCUUGGUUUUAUCGAGUAUGCAUGCCAUAUUACUUACACCCCAUCUUUAUCUAUGUAACAUACCAUGCAACAUGCACGAGCAUAUUCUAAUCUCCUACAUGGACAACAUAUGUAUGUAUAUAUGAGUUUUAGGUUUUACAUAAUCAAUAACUUUCAGCGUUCCAAAUUGAUAAUUAUCUUAAAUUUCUUCCCAGCGAUAUUUGUUGUUGUUGUGUAAGACGAAAUGUACACAUAUAUAUCAGUAUAAUUAUAUAUAUUAUAUAUACAUAUACACAUACAUACCUGUGCAUUCUGAAAAAAAUAUUGGAUUUAGACAUGGAAGAAGUAACACUUGAUAUAUAUGUACAUAUAUUUGUAUGAUUACAUGAGGACUAAAUUCAGUAUUGGUUUAACAAUAUAACAUGCAUGGUCUGAGAGACUAUAUACAUAUAUGUACGUGUAUGUAUAUAUAUAUAUAUACUAUGAACGUAUGAACAUAAUAUGGGUAAGUGAUCAUACCAAUUGAAGUUCUUAAUAUAUUAAUUAAGAGUAAAAAUAUUAAUUAGAAGUAAUUUGUUUUCCAUGAAUAUUCCUAAUUGUUCAUACGCAUAUGCAUCAUAAUUGAUUAUAAUCUAUUAAUUUUCCAUAAAUUAACAGUGAAUUAUUGUGGGUUAAUGAUUUUGCAGGCCAGUGCUGGACCAAAACCUGUACUACAUAGGCAUGACAUACACGUCCGCAACAUUUGCCUCCGCCACAGCCAAUGUUCUUCCUGCCAUAACUUUCAUACUGGCCAUUACUUUCAGGUACAUACCUACAUAUAUAUAUAUAUAUAUAUAUACGUAUAUGGAUAUAAUAUAUUUUUUCAAUUAAAUUAAAAAUACAUUUAAUUAUUAUUAAACUAUCUCAUCCUCUCAUCUCCAACUCUUUUAGUGCAAGAAUUAGCACGUACUUACCAGCUAGUGCCAGCAGUCCCAUCAUGCCACCUUAUCACCAGAUGCCUCUCUCUUGUUCUCCAUCAUCCUGAUCUGAUAAUCACAUACUUGAUCAAAAUUUGUAUCUAACUGAUUACUUAAUUAAUGUAAUCUGCAGGUUAGAGAAGGUUAAUAUGAAGAACAUAUAUAGCCAGGCCAAGGUGAUCGGAACGGUAAUCACGGUAACAGGAGCGUUGCUCAUGACUUUAUACAAAGGACCCAUCCUUCAAUUCAUAAACAGCGGCGGAUCAACCAAUCACGGAGGCCCCGUCAACGCUGUCAACAAGCAUUGGAUCGCUGGCACCCUUAUGCUUCUUGGUAGGACUGUUGGUUGGUCAGGAUUCCUCAUUUUGCAAGUGAGUAAUUAGUGCACAACUUAAUCAAUUAAUGAUAAUUAUGAGUAAUUAAAUGAUAAUUAUGUUAAUUAAAUUGUGGUCUGUGACCAGUCAUUUACGUUGAAGAAGUACCCAGCAGAGUUGUCUUUGACAGUACUAAUAUGCCUAAUGGGAACGGUGGAAGGUGCGGCUGUGUCACUUGUCAUGGAACGUAACAUGAGCGCCUGGAAAAUUGGAUGGGACUCCAAGCUCUUUGCCGCUGCUUACUCUGUGAGUGGCAGAUUAAUUUGAAAAAGAGUAAUUAAUUAUUAUUAUUAUUAUUAUUAUUAAAUCGUGAUUAAUAUAAUUAAUUUUGAUUAAGCAGGGAGUGGUGUGCUCUGGAAUCGCAUAUUAUGUGCAAGGCGUGGUGAUGAAGAAUCGAGGGCCGGUAUUUGUAGCAACCUUCAAUCCUCUCUGUGUAAUCAUCACUGCAGCUCUGGGUGUUAUUCUUUUAUCUGAAAGAAUCCACCUUGGAAGGUACUUAUAUAUAUAUAUAUAUUCAUUAUUAUAUUAUAUCAUAAUUCAAUAUCCAAUAUAUAUAUAUAUAUAUAUAUAUUCAAACGUUUUAAAAAGAGGAUUGAUUGUUGGUGUUGUGAUGAAAUGGCAGUGUGGUUGGAACCAUUUUCAUAGUUAUUGGCCUAUACGCUGUCGUUUGGGGAAAGAGCAAAGACAAUAAGAGCUCUGCGAUAAUCAUUGAUGAGGAUGAAAAAGGUGGAACCCCAGAAUUGCCCAUCACAGAUCCUGUCAAACAAAUCAACGACACCUCCCAUGAAACCGCUUAUGAAUUGAAGAACAAGACUGUUUCAACUUAGGAGCUAUAAUUUUUCAAAGACCCAAAAAAAAUAUAUAUAUAUUUUCUGAAAAUUUAUGCUACAAUGUUGGAGUGGAAGCUAUUAUUCUGUAUAAGCCUCUGUCCUUUUUUUUUUUUUUUUGUUUUACUUAUAUUUUUUUGUAAGUUUCAUAAAAUUGGAGGCAUCUUUUUGUAUCUGUGAAAUUUCCCAUCAAAAGCAGAAAUAGCAUUUGAUCUCAAGUUCUUUACUUGUUCGAUAUGGGAUUGCAUCCCGUACCACCCUCGGUUGUGCAAAGUAUAUAAGCGAAUAAGGGUAAAUAGAAUAUCAACUCAACAUAGUUCAAAUUGCGGUAUAUGCCAAAACCCAUGUGAUAUAUUCCCUAUAAGUCGCUUUUUCUCUAGCCUAACUCUAUUCAAGCUCAUGUUUCUUCUCAAUCUUCUUGAAAUUGGGCCUAUUAGAUGUACACCAAAUUUGUUCUUUGCAGCAAGUUGUUCAAGAAAUCCUCCAACGUAUACUUUGUGUGUUAAAUAACCAUUAAAUUCAUUGUUUCCAAUUGCAAAUGAUAAAUGUUUGAAAUUAUUCAUCUACGAGGGAAUAGAUCUCAAAAAAUUUCAUCGAAUGUUGGGUUUGAUCAAGUUUUUAAACAACAAUUAGUUCUUUAUUGAAAACAAAACAGAAUCAAACUUGUUAAAUUUUUUGAAAUAUAUAGUUGAAUGCAAGAAGUUAUAAUAAGUACGGAUUAUUUUUCUUAAAAUAUCAUAUACUCACUAAUUUAAGUAGAGAUGACAACAUGAUAGAUUUACAACGAAUUGUAUUAUAUUCAAAUUCAACUUGAAGAAUAAAUUCAAACUCAUAAUUUUUUAAACUAUGUUGAGUCUAUGAGUUAUUCGACCCAAACCCAACUCAAGAGAUUUAUUAUAUUUAUUAGUAACGAAAUUAAAAUUAAAUAUAUAUUAAUUAUAUUUAUUAAUAUAAAAGAUAAAUAUAUUUAAAAUAUAUGUAUAACAAAUUAGAUUCGCACGAGUUUUGAAAUACUAAAUUUGAACUCGCCCCAACUUAACUCUUUAUUUACUUAAUCUAAAUUUAAAUCGAUUAAAUUAAAUGAGUUUGGUGUAAAAUAUAAUUAUUAAGAUUAAGUCACGUUAAAAAUUAUUUAAGCAAGCAAUUGUAGAAGGUAGAUGACAUUUUUUGUGAACCACCCUUUUUAUAUGUAAAAGAUAUUCUAAAUCAAUUGAGAAUUGAAGAAAUUUUAUUAUUUAUAAAUAGAAAUUAUCUUUUUUUUUUCUUUUUUUGCAAUCAAUUUUGCUACUAAAUGUAAAUUUUAUAUUGUGUAUAGUUGUAUUUUUGAAUAUAUUAGUCAAAAUAAUUUUUUUUUUUUUUAUAAAUCAAAGUUCAUUUUCAAACUAUACAAUUUUUUUUUUUGAACUUUAUGAAUAUGAAUGAAUUUAUUUAUAUCAUAUAGUGAAUAUAUAGAAAUUUAAAUUUGCCAAAUAACUCAUAUGAUGAUUUUGUAGGAGUUUCCAUUGGGUCAUUUGGCUUUUUUUUUUUUUAUUGGACAAAUUUUGUAUGAAAUAAUAAUUUAAUUUAAUACAAUAAAACUAUAAACUCGUAAAUGCUAAUUUCUAAAAUAUUCAGACAGGAAUAUUUCCGGCGGACCCCACAAGAAUUGUGUCCCAGUCAAUUACAAGUAUCUUUCUUUCUUUUUUUUUUUUUAAUCACCACGGAGAUAUCUGAUUGGACGCAAUUGGUUAGUAGCAUAAAAGUGAAUGUACUCUAACAUCUCUCCCCGCCGUCAGAUUCAUACAGUAAAAGACCAGUAGGAUCAUUUUUCUUCUCUCUUCUCCAAUUGGCCCGGUCUCCUCCGAUUCUCUCUCUCUCUCUGCACCUUCUACCGCGAAACAGAGAAAAAGCCGAGAAGGCCAGAGGAAGAGAGGGAAAUGGUUAUGUGGGUGUUUGGAUAUGGUUCUCUUAUAUGGAAAGCCGGUUUCAACUACGAUGAGCGCCUCGUUGGUUUCAUCAAGGGGUACCGCCGUGUCUUCUAUCAAGGUUCUAUCUCCUUCUCUCCUUUUCUUGGAAUGUCUGGAUACGUAUGGACUCAUUAUUUAUGAAUCAUUAAAUGGUGUUGAUGUAGGAAGCACCGAUCACAGAGGAACAAUCGAUUAUCCAGGAAGAACAGUCACAUUGAUUCCUGCAGAUGGGGAAGUCUGUGUAUGUGCUCUUUCUUUCUUGCUUUCACUUUCGUUUAAAUACGUCUAAUAUAAUGAUAAGAAUGAGAAUACGCAAGGAGUAAGUGUAUGGUUAUGAGUUCUGAAACUAUCAGAGUUACUUAGCAAUUACAGUGGAGGUUCAAACAUUCAACAAAAUAUUCUAGCAAUUAGUAAUGGAGGAAAGAAUUGGCUUCUAAUUUAUGGGUUCUUAUGAUAACCGACGACAGAAUUGAUUUUAAUUGGUGGGUUUCAUGACAAGGAAAUAAUUGGCUCGUGAUUGAUUGACUGCUACUUGCAGUUCGAUAAUUUAUGGAUUCAUGUGGAUAUCUGAUUGGGAGAGAGAUGAUUUUUAGGUCGUAAUAUCAGUGUUAUUCUUAAUUUACCCGCCAUAAUCAAGGUAUUGUAGCGGGAGAUUAUGUUCCUUCCCUUUUUGGUCCAAGUAUCAGAAUUAUGCCUCUUUUUUUUAGAGUUUUUGAGGAGUCAGAAGCGUUAUUGUCGAUAUCUCCUGUUCUGAAAUGAAUUCUUGCCCGCGAAACAUAGCUGAAAUCCUCAAUUAUCAUGUCAUGAUUCUGGGUAUUUACAUCCAUAACAUUGUUGCAGAGGAAAUAUAUUUGAAGGGAGGAAAAAUGUCUAGGUUGUGGAAAUUACAUGAUUUACAUAUUUACAUAUCUAAUGGUGGAAAUAGAAGAUUCUCAAUACUAAUACUUCUAUUUGAAUUUUAAGAAAAACAGGCAUAGAUCAGGAAUAGAUUGUCUAAAAAUAAAAUGCAGCUGCUUUCCUUCAACAACACAUGAUUUUUAAGCUUUACCCUACCACAACAGAACUACAUUGUCAAUAUGCAUAAAAUCUGUUUUCUCAAUAUGGAUGCAAGAUUAUCAAAUGAGACUCAAUAUCUGAAGUAGAUUGUUCCUUGAUGUUGCAAGGUCACAGUGGGGAGCUGCCUACAAGAUUUCUAAGAAGGAAGAUAAAGAAACUGCAUUCACGGUAUUGUUUUCUGUAUGCCUUUUUACUUCAAACUUAGGCUGUUAGUUUACUCCUGCUCUCUGCUGUAGCUUUUUCUUUUCUUCUUUUUGAUUUCUUGUAGUUGUGUUGUACCUUUUAUGCUUCCAGUGUAUGUGAGGUUGCUCAUUAUUUUUUGGCUAUUUCAGUGUGUUUUCUUCAUGUUAAAGGCCUCCUGGAAACUUCUUGUCAUCUCACUGAAUCCUGUUUUAGUUACACAUGAUCAUGAUAUAAGACACAUACCCAUAAUUUAGCUAAAUUAUCAAGCAUGAAUAUGUCUAGACGCAUAAAAAAAUGGUGGCAUCGAAAAGGCAAAGAUGAGCUUAUUUUUUCGUAUUAGACCUCUUCUGUCAGAAAGUACAUUUAUCCUUAUAAGCUUGCCAGACCCUUCCUUCUGUAUUUUGGUUUUUCUUUCAUAAGAAUGAAUGUCGAUACAAGUUGUGAGCACUUAAUCCUUCUAGAACACUGACGUACCUUGUACUUUUAUCAUCCAGAAUUUCUAGAAUUACCCUUGUUAUUCCAAUUUUGGUUGUGAAUCUGUUUGUUUCAACCACAUUUUAUUAUUUUCUGAUUCAAUUGUUGAUUUAUUUCUUUCACUUUCUUUGUCUUUUAUGGCAGUAUUUAGAAGUGAGAGAAAAACAGUAUGACAAAAAGGCUUAUCUUGACUUCUUCACUGUGAGUUCUGAGUGCUAAGACUUCAGUUAUGGAUGCUAGGCUUUUAUCAGUCAUAUAAUGACUACUAAUAAAUAUUUCAGGAGCCUAAUGCAUCAACUCCAGCAAUUUCAGGAGUCAUGGUGUAAGUGGUAGAAGCAGCCAUGGCCUACUAUGUCUAUGUACUCUGUAUUUCCUAGAGUUAACUAGAACCACAUUGACACCAUUUGCAGAUACAUAGCAUCUCCUGACAAGAAGCUCAACAAAAAUUAUCUAGGGCCAGCAUCUCUUGAAGAUAUUGCCAAGUAUGUUUCGUCUAUAUGUGCAGUUUAGCUGUCGGUUGAGAAUGUCACUCAUUUGAAUGACAAAUUCUUCAUGAAUAUGAAACUUCACCUCUAGAUGUAUUUUGAGCCACAGGCUCAUAAAUUAAGACCUAAUACUACAAUUGUCACUGACCGCACUGCAGAAGAGAAAGGUCUCUACAGUCCAUAACUUAUAAUAAAUUUCUAACGGUUUUAUCUGCUCUGCUCCUUGAAACAUCUGUAUUUUUAUGUUUAAUAAAUAUAAGUUCAGAUGACAUUGCUAUGAAAUUUUGUCAGGAGGUGACCUUGUUCUCCCGUCUGAUUGCAGAUUGCUAAAUGGGUGCUCCUGCAUUAUAGUGCACCUUAGUUCCUACUGGGUUUAAGGCCUGGCUAUGAAUAACUAGUUUUCUCCUUUUCUUUUUCCCAUUUCUGCAGUCAAAUUGUUAACGCCGAAGGCCCCUCUGGACCCAACAGAGACUACCUUUUCCAACUUGAAAAGGCUCUCGUUCAAUCGGGUACGCAUCCUUGAGAACUCAGCUUGUUUGCUGUAAAUCAUUGCAACACUGUGCUUCUAGCAGAUUUUCUCUUUUUUUUUUUUUUAACCCUACAGGAUGUAAAGAUAAACAUGUUAUAGAUCUCGCUAAUGAAGUAAGGCGUAUUCUCUUGGAGAGAGAAAAUACUGGUUCAUGAUCCUACAGUUUACAGAAAAUUAGAUCAAGUUACCGUCAUACUAAGCCUCAGUUUAUUCCCCGAGGCAAUCUAUUGAAUCAUUAUCUUCUGAUGGAGAGUCCAUUUCACUAAGCCAACUUUUAGGUUAAUAGUUAUUGUCUCUGACCGGAAGGUAUACCUCUGAAUCUGGAGCUUGAGAAGGCUGAUUCUAUUGUUUAAGGUUGAAGAUCAUUGCAUUCUUAUGCCCUUACAUGGACCAACAUUUCUGGGCUGUAUCAAAACAAUGUAUUACCACCAUGAUUGGUGUUACCAAGGGUGCUUUAAUGCUACACCCCUUAAAAUACAUCCGAGGACUGUAAAACUCAAAAAAUAUUUUUUAUCUUUCAUUAAAAAAGUAAUAGGUGUAUACUGGAUGUUUUCUUUUAGAAGACAGUUUUAACGAAAUUAUUUUUAUUUUUGUCAGACCAAAAAAUUGUACUUGUUUCUUCAGAAAAGGACUUUUCCCUGUAAAAACCAGUGAAUUUCCUACUUGUUCCCUGAUCUGCAAGUGAAGAGCGUUCCUUUUUUUUUUUUUUUUGUCUCCCCUUCGUAAUACAUUAUGAAAAUUAACGUGUUGCCUGUUAUGGUACUAUCACAUUAAGACACUGUUUUAGAGUUUAUUUUUGAAAAUUUUAAUAUAUAUGAUAGCGUAUUAACAUAUAAUAGAGAAUAUAGAGUAAAUUAUGCAUCUUAGGAUCCAGUUAAGUUCAUUUGUUCAACUUCUAAACUGGAAAUUUGAGAAGAUUUAAUACUUUAAAAGUCUAGAAAAUUCACGAAAAAACUUUUUGAAUCUCUUAAAAGAAUUAAAAUUUGAAACUUAAUUUAUAAGUCAAUACUUAGUUAUUGGUAGAUUAAGCCUCCUUAAAAUCCUUGACCUUUUGUAUGCAUUAUUACAAAGUCAGAAUAACAUUUAUAUUCUCCCUGAAAUUUUUUUUUUCCCCAAAUAUUAUAAGAGCUGAUUCUAAUGAUAAUAACAAUUUCAUUUUAGGGGGCCUUAAUUGUCUCCUGAUCAUCUUCGUACUUCUAAUAGGAAAAGAAAAUGUUAAGAUCUUUUGGCCAACAUUUUUGUAUAUAUUUUUCUUAAUAAAAAAAAAAAAAAAACCUAAAUUAUAUGAAUCAAAGUUUAAACCUCAUAAAAAAGUAAUUUAACAAAAUAUUUUUUGAACAUUAAACAACCUAAAAGUUUCAUGAUUUGUCCUAUAAAUUUAAAACACAACAAAAUCCCCCCCGACAAAUAUACCAAUCGUUUUGGACAUUGAAUUUCAAUAUUCUACCAUCGGGCUAAACAGAUCUUGGCUCUAUUAUGAGGCGAAGUUAUUGAUCAAACCAUAUUAAACCAUUUAUAGAUACUGCCAUUAGCUUCUCUGAAUAUCUGAUAACUACGAGGGCAACAGAACACUAGUAGCCAGUGGCAUCACUUACUGAAUGGAUGCUCAACUGAAUGACUCUCGACAGAACAGGCUGCUUCAGAAAUAGCACCUGUGGUAUUGGGAGUAUAUGAAAAAUUCCAGUUUUAGAUCUAAAAAAUAACAUCUUCACACAAUAAUUUUCUCAAUCAUGUUAGUAUUUGGUUUCUACUACAUUCUGCAAAACAAGGAAAAAACCACAUCAAAAUCGAGGCAAGACCUUCGAGAUUACCCAAUUCCAGCAUUACCUACCAAGAAAAGUGGCAGAAAUUUCCACCGUUCAAUCAAAACCUCUGGCUAGUUGACACAAACUGCCUGAUUCAUAUGAGACAACCACAAAGUUGGAUGGGGAUCCAUUCAGGAGGUUCGAAUAGAUUUAGCUUCCUCUUAAAAAUAGACCUCAGAUCCAUCAAUCAGGGUAAAUAAUGUGAGUCGAAAAAGAAAUUAACGAUGGUCAACAUGAACAGUUCUGACUGUUUUCACAAGCCAUCAGCAUAUUUACAACUGAAAAAUGUCUUAAACUUAGAACACACCUUUUGGAUCAAACUAAUACUGCACAAUUCUACGAAUCUCUGUUCAUGGAUCAUCAUACCAAUGACAAGCCCAAGCAGAGAUAGAUCCUGGAUCCCUCACCAACUCCACAUAUUAGAAUAACAAAAAGAAAUUUAUCUAAAAUAAAAAUAAUAAUACAUCUAUUUUUUCUAACUGCCCCAAACAUCUUGUUCUUGGACAUCUUGAACUCUAAUACUGGAUUAAUCACUUUCCUCGUCAUCCUCUUCUGCAAUACGGUAGAGGGAGAAUGUAAGGAGAAACAAGAUGAUGACUUCCAAUUUGUAACUUACAAAAUGCUCAAUCAGUGAUAUUACAGAAUGCUCAAUGUUCACUAAUUGUACAUUCAAAUUAGAGCAAUAAGAAACUAAGGCCCUCUUUAGUUAUAGAAAACUCUGACGUUUUGUCAAAAUUUACCUAUGUUUGUAUAGAAAAAUUUGUAUGGUUGAUGAAAAUGAGAACAUGGUUUGGGAAAUGAUACUGAAAAUAUAGUAUGCAUUUUAAAACAAUAAAAUCAUGUUUUCCAAAUUAUACAAUAUUUUUAUUAUCGUUUUCAAAUCACAUUUCAUUUCAAUAGUCAAAAUAUUCUUCUACACAAACACAAAAUAAUUUAGAAAGUGAACAUAAAAGAGUAUUAAGUGUUUCCAUAUCAAUAUAAUAUAUUACGUACCUUUUUUUAUUUGGAUAUAUAUAACAUAGACCAAACUUUAUUUAUUCUUAAAUUUUAUAUAAAUGAAGAUUAACUAGUUCGUAUGCAAAAGCAGUCAAAAAGUUCAUUCAUAUUUACUAAACUAAGCAUGAAGAUUUUAGUUAUAAUUACUACAGGUGAAGAGUAUCAUAGAAGGAAUUUGCAAUUUCAUGCAGCAGGAAACAAGUCUGUUAACUCAAAGUCUUCCAAGGAUAUGGAAUUCUAACUCCUAUUAAUAUGAGAUUACAAAUUAUGAUGUUUAGCCCAUAUAAUUUAUAGAGCUCUAAGAUUACUAUUGAAAAAGAAAAAGGAGAACCAAAAACCAUCCAGAGCUUCAUUACAUAAUAAGGAUAUUUUGUGAUUCUUUUUCUUCAAUAUAUAGGCCUUGAUUUGCCUUAAAAGUAUUUAUGAGUAGCUCUAAACGCUCUAUUCAAAUUUACCUAUUUGGUAAUGUAAUGAGUUAGCUAUUUAUUAGAUACUCAUAACCAACUUUAAUCAUGCUAUUCUAAUAUUAGUUUGCUAUAGUAAUAAGAAAACCAUUUAAUUACCUCUCACGUAAAAAAGGAGGAAAGAAAAAAGAAAAAUUCCCCUGACUUUUAGGAUGUUGAUUCAAAAUACUUACUUUACCUAUGUUUUUAGUAAACAUCUUUAACCAAACUCAUAAUUAAUUAUUUUUAAUCAGCACCUAGGUGCCUUUGAAGCACUUUUUAAGCAGAUUUUUUUAAUAAACCAAGCACCCUAUUGGGUCAAAUGACUUAAAUAGAAAAGCUUGAAAUUAAUUAUGGGAAACUAAAAGCUAGGAGAAAUACUAGUUGUGACAAUAUUCUACUCUGCGUCUGCAUCAAGAUUACUUAUUACAUUAGAGCAUGGUUUGAUCCUUUGCAAAAAAGAAAUACUGAAAUUGACGGUGCUUGACCUAUGUUAAAAUAUUGAUGACAGACCACAACCUUCACUAAUCACCACUACCAUUCUCUUAAUUCCCAAGCCCAGUCAUAAAGUAAGCAGCAAACAAAAAGAAACCAUUAAAAAUUUAUGAAACACUUACCCUCAUCAAACUCCUCACUGUGGCUCUCAUCACUGUCAUUAUUAUCAUCGUCUUCAUCAUCGCCCUCAUCAUCUUCAUUUUCAUUAUCAGUAUCUUUAGAAUCAUCAACAAUAUUUUCAUCUGGAAUUUUGGGCUUUGGUGGAGCAAUAAAACUGGUGGCAGACCUUCUGCGUGAACUUGAAACAAUAUUACUCACGUCAAUCCCCUCGAGUUCCUUUGCUCUUUCCUUUUGCUUUCUUACUCCCUUGAUUUCUGCGGAUAAAAAGAAAUCAGAAUUCGUUGUAUUAAUGCAUUCAUCAUCCUCUCAUGUAACUAUUAUAACAAACUCAGGAUGAAACUUUCCUACUGAAUCUCAACCACCAGCAUUAUUUUAAAAGAAAAUGAUCCAGUCAUACGUAGCCAACUUUCAGUUAAAACACUGUACAAAUUCCACUUUGUUAACAUUAAAAACAGGAUGCUAUUAGGUUCUUAAAACUGACUCUAAUAACAUAAAAAUAAGCACCCCGAACUUUUUUAGUUUCUUAAUUUUUUUUAUCUAACAAAUUUACUUAACUACUCUCUUAAAUAUCCCCUUAAAAUUAAGACUAAUAAAAAAAUUAUAAAAAAUAACUAUUUAUUUUUUGCAAGCCAAACUUAAUCUAAAUGCAAAACUGCUUAUUUUUAAAGUAACAAUUUAUGUACCUUAAGCUAGUUAAAGCACCUUAUCAACAUACUUUUUGUACAUAAUCUCAAACACCCUCUUAUAAUUCCUAAAAUCACCAAUCCCAGAAAACCAAUGAACUUGGACCCUGCAAAUUUAAUACCAUGAAAGACUGACCGGGAACAGGAACAGAAGCACAUCAAUGAUUAUAUUCGCAUACUUCUAGAUAAACAUUGUGUCCUCAUACACAACACCAACUCUCCACUAAAUAGCAAUCAAUGGCAAUACAGAACCUAGAAUCUAGAUGCUUUAAGAGUUCAGGGGAUAACACCAUAAGUUCCAAAAAGGAAGACGAGAUGAGUCCAGAGUUCUUCUUUUCCUUUCCCAUACCCAACCAAAUUACAAGUACAGAUGAUGCAUUUAGCCCUUUACAUAAACAUGACCUUCUCCCUUUACAUUUUGGACAAAAUAAGAAGGAACAUGAUACCUCCAGUCCGGAAAUUUACACGAAGUGAUGUUUUCCCUAGUACUAUGCAUGAAUUCAAAAGAUUGGAACUGUUAUGACAAAUUAACUAAACAAAUUGCCUAUUAGUCCUUCCAAGUCUGAGAUGGUUAAAUUGGGGAAUCAUAGCGAUACUGCAAGGUUGGCGAGGGUGCUGGGUUGUAAAGCUGUUAAGUUGUCAAUUAAGUACUUGGGUUACCACUGGGAGCUAAUUACAAAGAGAUAAGUGCUCGGGAUCUAGUGAUGAAUAGUUUUGAGAAGAAGUUGCUGAGACGGAAGAGGGUUCUUCUUUCUAAAGGUGGGAGAGUAACACCCACUUAAAGAACAUUGAAAUUUAUCCAUUUAUUACAUGUUUCUGUUCACUGUUCUAGCAAGUGUUGCCAAGAGAAUAGAAACCAUAUAAUGUAGAAUCUUAUGGAGGGAUUCAAAUGAAAGAAGAAGAUCUCAUUUAGUAGCAUAGGAGGAGAUCAAGAAGCCUAUCACUCACAGAGGAUUGGGGCUAAGGUCCCUAGUGGAUAUAAACUUGGCCCUACAAGGUAAAUGGUUGUGGGGGUUUAUGCAUGAAGAGCGUACAUGGUGGAUAAGGGUGAUAGAAGUCAAGUAUAGUGUAGAUGAGAAAGGUAGAUACACCAGAACUUGACAACACCAUACGGAAAGGCUUGUGGAAAAAGAUGUGCAUGGGUAGAGCCAGAUUUCAUACGGGUAUCAAUGGAAGGCUGGAAAGGGUGACCGAAUUAGUUUUUCGAAAGACCCACUUUUUUCUGAGAAAAAAAGUGUGAAGUAUAUAUUAAUAAGGUACCAAAAAAGCGGAGUUACUACCCAUGUACAAAAAAUUUACAAUAACGUCAGUGUAUCUAUGAUAUUCCCAAAAUUCUCAUUACUAAUAAUGUCAUAACUUAACAAAAUAAAUCUAAAAUAGUGAAUCCAUCUAUCUCUUAAUCUAUACAUAUUAAUCACUACACCUUUAAAAGCUUUAACAUUUCUCUCUUUUCAAAGAAUCUAAAAAACAAUAAAGGGAUUAAAUUUGCUAUAUUUUUUUUUACAUAUAAGUCAUCCCAAGCCCAAAUUGUCCCACCAACCGGACCAGCAAUUACCCAGUCAAAGACCCAUGGUUGAAAGGUGGAACCAUAAGAGAUUAAUAUCUGUAGAUUUUCACCAUAGCGUAACAGAAAGAUAUUCCGGUGAGUGAAUCUUCCAGAGAUAUGGGGGGAGCUAAGGAGUGGCAGGUAGAUGUACAGAGAAACCUCAAUGAUAGCAAGAUCAACAAAUAUGAGAACCUCCUAUUUAUCCUAUCUCCCAUUGUCCCGGACAGAAGGGACGAUCAACCCAUAUGAAGUCUUAGUAAAUUUGGAUCUUUUACAAUCAAAUCUCUUUAAAGCAUUCGACUAAGCAGGAGAAGGUAGCAAGUUUCCUUUUAGACAGAAAUAGAAGGCUAACGCUCCUCCCAGGGUGGAUUUCUUCAUAUGGGAAGCGAAUGGAUGUUACAUUCUGAUGAUUGAUAAAUUGAUGAAAAGUGAUACGAUUAUGACAAAUGGAUGUACUUGUAUAAAGGAGUUGCGGAGACUUGUAGCCAUUUCCUUUUAUGGUGUCCGAUGGCAUACAAGUUAUGGUCGAUGAUUUAUGGUUAAUUGAGUAUCAGCUGGGUGAUCACUCGGUCAGUCAAAGAUGAAAUUUGAGUGGGGAAGAGCAUAAUUUGUGGAGGAAAUGUAAUUGAUCUUAUUCCACUCAUCAUCUUUUGAGUGUUAUGGAAGAAGAGAAAUAGAAAAGCUUUGGGGGGGCGAGGGGGAUUGAGAAUGAGAGGGAUUUUGAUAUGAUUUGAAUAGAUGGUUCCAGACUCCUCGUUUUUUUUUUAUUUUGGACCAUCUUCUGUAUUCAAUAAAAAAUUUUGAGAAUCUUAUUAAAAUCUUGAUAGAUAGGUAAAUAUUUGCAUACGAGUUGGCACCACCUUGAUGCCUAUUAAUAUAAUUCAUACUUUUAUUUUAAAAAGAAAUGUUUGUUAAAGAACUUUAACAAAACAUCUUGUUCUACAUUUAAAAAAAAUCCAAAACAAAACCAAAACAUCCUGCGAUUUGAAUAUGAUUAACCAAGUCAUUUCCAGCAUGCCAAGAAAUCCAAUAUGAAUGCCAAGCACAUACUUUGGCUAAUUCUUUCCAAAAGAUCAGUUCAAUUAUAGGAUAUAUUAGAGAUAGAGAUUAGUUUCAUUCCUUUUCCCUUUCUCUUGCACCUAUCCCUACCGCCCUACAAAUGCACAGAUUGGGGCUUAUUCAGUUUUCCAGGUUUUAGGUUAUUUCUAGUUUAGGUCAUUUGGGUUUCAAGUAACUUUCAGCAGAUUUUUUUGAAUAAAUCGAAUCAGAUUUACAAGGCCAGGUAAGAUUUUGCCAUCUCUAAGCGCAUCACAUAUACUGGACUCUAUCGUACCUCCACACAACAGCAAUCAGCAUAUUACAGAGCAAAAAUAAAAAAGCAUACAGCACACUUACUAUUGCGAGCCUAUAACCAGAGCUACCAACCAGUGGCAAACUUUACCUUUUUCGGAAGGAUUUGCAGACAGUCCUUCUCUAGCAAGAAUCUCUUCAAGUUCCUUUAUCAAGUGGGUCUCCCGUUUGUUAUCAGGAACCUGCUUUACUUUCCGGUAAAUAGAAGGGGGAACACUGCAUAUGAAAUAAGCAAAAGUAAGGAAUCCACCAGAAAAAGAUCUGGAUUAAUAAACAAACGAGUUGAAUUAAAACCUCAUCCCACAUGCUUUGAUAACUGAUUUUAGAUGCUCUACUUGUUUUCCAUAUGCCGGAGUCAAUACUUCUUUUUUCUGCAUAAUAGUAAAAUUGAGUUAAAGGAUACUGACUAAAUUAGAACUUUACCUUUGCACAGAUUUUUAACAAAUGAAAACGGCAAACCUUCAUAGGCUUCUCAGCAGAUGAUUGAGGCUGGCUAUCAUCGGAGAUAAUUUCACUGUCUUCUGCAUUAAUAUCAUCCACUGAAUUCUUUUGUGAAGGCUUCAUCCUCUUCUUGGCAGACGCUUUUGUAUUACUUUCAGGUAUACUCCGUUUUUUAAGCCGCUCUGGUUUCUGCAUUUUUGUUUUUGGAACAAUUUUCUUUUUGGAUUUCACCUUAUGUUCUUCCUCAUCAGUCUCACCUUCUAAUGAAUCAGAACUUCCCUCAGAUGCUUUACUUUUGGAAUUCUUCUUAAGAUUUUUCUCCCCAACCCUAGAUAGAGGUUUUGGAGCUUCAUGAGAUUGUAAUACCUGAUCAAUUCCGAAGGUAACUGAAGAAUGAUAAUUCUGUAUUUUUUUAUUGCCUUUGAUAAUGAUACAAGAAUUAUAUUUACAAUACAAUAGUUACCAUAUUUUCACAAAAAAAUCCUCAUAAUUAGUGAGAGGAUUUUCCAGAACAAAUGACAAAUCAAAUCAAAGAGGUUUGAUAAGAAUCCUCCUAAUAAGUGAGAGGAUUUUCCAGAACUAAAGGCAGACCAAAUCAAAGAGGUUUGGUCAACCUUUGUGCUAUAUCUUCUAAAUUAGGAAGUAAACAUUUCUGAUAUAACAACUACAAUUACUCGAUUUUUAACACUCCCCUUCAAGUUAGGCAGUAAAUAUCAUGUAAGCCUAGCUUGGACCUCAUAUCUUCAAAAUUUGUCUUUGCUAGCAUCUUAGUCCAAAUAUCUUCUCUUUGUUGAAUAGUGAAAACAUAGGAGAUGUUAAUUAUUCCCCCUUCUAAAUUCUCCUUGAUAAAGUAUCCAUCUAUUUCCACAUGUUUCGUCCUAUCAUGACGAACAGAAUUCUUAGCUAUACUUAAAGCAACUUGGCUCUCGCACAUCAUAUUGAUAGUACCAAUUACUUGAAUGUUAAGUUCACUGAGUAAGCAUUUUAACCGCAUUCCUUCACGCAUCACAUUGGUCAUAGCUCUGAACUCUGCUUCCGCUAACCCCAAGCAACCAUUUUCUGUUUUUUGCUUUGCCAGAUAACAAAAUUUCCCCACACAUAAAUACAAUAUCCUAAAGUGGAUCUUCAAUCAAUACUAGAUCUUACCAAAUAUGCAUCAAUAAACACUUCGAUAUUCUUGUUUAGUCUUAUAUGAAGUGAAGCCCUCCAAGAGUUUUCUUCAACUACCUUAAAAUAUGAUAUAGUCGAUUCAUGUAUUCUUUAAUAGGAUUAUUCAUGAACUACCAGCCAAACUAAAAGUAAAGCCAAUAUCUGGUCGUGUGUGUAAGAGGUAGAUGACUAGUCGAUUCAUUGUUUUCUUCUUCAUUUUUCCUUGGGUGAUUGCUUCUAUUGGGGUAUUUGCAGGCUUACAACCCAAAAUUCCUAUUUCUUUGAGUAAAUAAAAGGCAUACUUUCUUUGUGAAACCACCUUCCUAAUUGAGACCUUAUAAUUUCCAUUCCAAAGAAAAUUUUAGAUUUCCUAGGUCUUUGACUUCAAAUUCAUGAGUUAAAACUUUUUUAAGUUCUAUAAUCUCCUCUUCAUGGUUUCCUGUUAAGAUAAAAUCAUCUACAUAAACAAUUAUGAUAGCUAUCCUUCAACUAGGAGAAUGUUUAACAAAUAGGGUACAAUCUGACUAACAUUGGACAUAUCCAAUUUCUUACAGUCUUAGAAAAUCUCUUAAACCAAGCUAUGGGCAAUUGCUUGAGCAUAGAGAGAUUAUUUCGCUUACAAACCUUGUUUGAGUUAAUAUUGAUCUUUGAGACCUUCAAGGAUCUCCAUGCACACUUCUUUUCUCACUCUCCAUUGAAAAAGACUUUCUCGAUGUCUAACUGAUGAAGCUUCCAAUCAGAAUUGUUGCCAAUAACGAGAGAACUCAAAUGUUGUUAAGUUUUGCAACGAGUAUAAAAGUCUCCUAGUAGUCAAUACCACAGGCUUGAGUAAAGACUUUAGCAAUGAAACAAGUCUUGAAUCUGCCUAUAUAUUUUUUAAAAAAAAUAAAAGCAUGUAUACUACGUAUGUAACACCAAUGGAGUAUCACUCCUAUAUAAAAUUAUUUACAAAUCGGUUAGAACAUUUAAAACUUUUCCAAAAUCAUUCCACCCAUACAAAUCAUGACCCAGAAUUAGAGAUCCAAAAAAGUGAAGCCAUCUAUCUCUAAUUCUUCCAAUAUCUCUCACACACCAAUUGAAUGCUCUAUUGUUUCUCUCUUUCCAAAUAACCCAAAAGAUAGACAAAUGAAUCAAUUUAGAAAACUUAUAUCUAAUCUCCAUCCCGUCCUAAACCCACAAUUCAUUUUUUACCGAACUCCCAAUCACCCAAUUUACACCCAGUAAGCUAUACACCAUAUGCCAUAGACUAUAUGUCACCGAACACUACAGAAGAAGAUGGUUGCAUGAUCAACAGUUUCCAAAUAAAGGUAGCACCCAUUCGCCAUAAUAUGUCCCCUCCUCAUCAACUUGUCAAUAGUAAGGAUGCACUCCUGUUCAGCUUCCCAAGCAAAAAAAAGCAAUACUCGAAGGUGCAUUAGCCUUCCAAAUUUGUUUGUCAAGAAAAUUCAGUUUAUUAUCUUCUUUGGACGUCAAGUAAUCAUAAAAUAAUUUCACAGUAAAAGCGUCAUCUUUCCUGAAUUUCCAAGUAGCUUUAUCAUUACAUGUAUCUAAAUGGACAUCCAUAAGAACUUGAAGAAUCCUUGUAUAUUCGUCAAUCUCCCAGUCAUUCAGAUUUCUAACCAAAUCGAUAUCUCACCCGCUUCUCCCAUCCCUACCCCUAAACACCUCCUCCACCACCACAUUAUUCCUCAACACUAAAUUAUAAACUCUUGGAAAUAGAUUUUUCAGGCUGCCCCUUCCCAACCGCUCAUCCUCCCAAAUAUUAAUAAUGUUGCCCCUCCUAAUCUUCCACUUAAUACCCUCAAAGAACUUCUCCCUCCCCAAACAAAUACCCUUCCAAAGACCCAUCCCAUGAGGCCUAGCUAACCUCCUAUCACUCUCUCUUCCCACCAUGUCCCCCCACCUCGCCCCAAUGACCCUAAACCACAACAACCCCUCCUCCGUAUGGUAUCUCCAUAACCACUUCCCCAACAAAGCUUUGUUUAAAUCCACCAAAGACCGAAGCCCCAAGCCCCCCUUCCCCUUAGCCCUCUUCACAUCAUCCCACCGACGCAAAUGAUAUUUUCUGUUACUGUCAUCAUCCUCCAAAAAAAAGCUACAUUGAAUACUCUCUAAUUUCUUAGUAAUUUUGACCAGGAUAGUCAACACUGACAAGUAAUAAAUAGGGAGAUUCACAGAAGUACUUUUAAUCAAAGUCAGUCGCCCCCUUUAGAAAGGAAAUGUUUUUUCUAUCCCGUGAAUCUGCCUAUGUUAACAACUGCAUUGUGUUUAAUAGUGAAGAUCCACUUGCAUCCCAGAGGUUUUUUUUCCAAAGGUUAAUGAACAAGGCCCAUGAACUAUUUCUCUCAAUUGUCUUGAGUUCUUCAAUAACAGCUUACUUCCACUCAUGAUCUUGCAUGGCUUCUUGAAUGCUAUUAGGAAUUUGAAUUUCCAUGAAUUUAGUAGAAAAAGCAUGAUAUUCAAGUGAUAAUUUCUUAUAUGACAUUAAGUUGUAAAUAGGAUGAUGAAUACGAGAUUUGACUCUUUUCCUUUAAGUAAUUGGUAAAUCGAGAUCUUGUAAUGUCAACUUGUCAGAAGUUUUACCCGAUUGUCUCUUCCCAAAAUGGCUCAUGUCCAGCUUCAUGACUAGCUCUUUCGUGCAUUUGUUCCUGCGUAAGUGUCUGGCUUUUCUGUCUUCUUGAGUAUAUUAAGAGUUCUUCUCAUUGUUUGGAGAAAUACUCUGAAAGGGACCUUUCGAACUAGAACUGAUGUUUGGGGAAACAAUAGACUUAGGAGGAUUUGACUCAACAAAUUUGGGAUCUUGUAUUUGGGUGUUGCUCCCAAAUUUCCAAAAAAAAAAAAAUUUCUUUCGUAUUUCCAUUAUCCCCCUUAACAUCAUUCUUAGAAUAAAAUGGUUCAUUUUUAAAAAAUGUAAUAUCUAUAAAGUGAUAGAAUUUCUGGGUAACCAGAGAAUAACAUUUAUAUUCUUUUCGAUUUGGCGUAUAUCCAAUGAAGAUACAUUUUAUGGCUUGGAGAUCAAAUUUGCUUCUAAAUUGUUGAGAAACACAAACAAAUUAUCAACACUUGAAGACCUUUGGAAGAAUUGAUGAGACAAGUCAUGUUGAUGGAUAGGCACUUUUGAAGACUUGACAAGGUGAAUGGAAUUGUGGGACAUGGGAAGAUAUCCAGUUGACUAAGUAAGCUGUAGUGAGAAUGGCAUCCCCCGUAAAAUUUUUGGAACAUGAGACUAAAUCAUGAUAGCUCAUGUAAUUCCUAAUACAAGUCUCUUUCUUUUCAGCUAUUCUAUGUUGUUGAAGAGCGUCAAUGCAUGAAUUUUUGUGGAUAAUUCCCUCUUCGAUCAAAUAUUUCCAAGGAUAAAACUGAAAUAAUCUUUGGCAUUAUCUGUGUGGAGGAUUUGGAUUUUUCUGUUGAAUUGAGUUUGCACUAUUUUAUUGAGAACUUGAACAAUUUACAACCUUGGAUUUUUCCUUCAUUAGAAAUCCCCAAGUAAAGUGUGAGUUGUCAUCUAUGAACAUUAUGAACCAUCUUAUUCCAGUCAAACCUUGACUUUGUAUGGUCCCUAAACAUCAAUAUGAAUUGCUUAAAUGAGAUUUGAUUCUUUAUAUUAUUGGAUAGGAUAGGUAUUUCGGACAUAUUUGGAUAAUUGACAGGAUUCUGACUAAAAUUCAAUAAAGUUAUGAUUAAACAACUAAUGAGAGAGUUUGUUGAGAUACAGAAUAUUUGAAUGACCUAAACGAUGAUUUCAUAAUAUUAUUUCACUAUUUUUAUUCUUGAUGGCAAAGAAACAUUGUUUUCUUUCCGCAAAAAAAUUCUCAUGAGGUUCAGUUGUUUUGAGCAUGUAGAGUCCCAAAUUCGACAUUGUUAAUCAUCUAUCCCAAAGUCAAAUCCUGAAAGAUACAACAUUUAGAGGUGAAUAUAGCGACAAUUUUUUUUCCCUUGUAAGUUGACUAACUGAUAGAAGAUUGCAGUUCAGAUUUUGCACAAAUAGAACUCAAUUGAGGGUGGUUUUCUAAUAGAACCAUAAACCUUCCACCAAUCACUUUUGAGACCAAUCUAUCAGCUAUAUUGACAUUGUCUUCUUUCCAUUAAAAAAUUAUCAUGAGGUUCGGUUGUUUUGAGCAUGUAAAGUUCCAAAUUAAACACUGUUAAUCAUCCAUCCCGAAGUUAAAUCCUGAAAGAUACAACAUUUAGAGGUGAAUAUAGUGACUCAGUUUUUUUCCCUUGUAAGUUGACUAACUGACAAAAAUUGCAGUCUAGAUUUUGAACAAAUAAAACUGAAUUGAGGGUCAGGUUUUCUAAUAUAACCAUAGAUCUUCUACCAAUCACUUUUGAGACCAAUCUAUCAGCUAUAUCGACAAUAAAAUUUUCAUGAAAAGUAGCGACAUUUCGAGUAAAAUAUACAUCACCAGUCAUAUAAUCAGAGGCUCCAUAAUCGACUAUCCACAAAUUUUUCUUGUCCACCCUAUAAGUUUUGAGAAUUAUUGAAAAAAUACCUUUGUGCCUCACAUUUGCUAUUCCUGAAGGGCUGGAAUUUGGAGUAAAAAAAGUCGGUCGUGCAUCAACAAGCAGCUUUUGAAUGAUUUCCAACUGCUCCUAGUCAAAUUGGUUUGAUUGUUCCUUGGUUGUAGUAUAAUUUGCACAUCCCUCCCUCUUGGUUUUUGGCUUCCAUAUCAUGUGGUUUUCCAUGAAUAUUCCAGUAGGUGUUACGGGUGUGUCCAAGUUUCUUAUAAUGCUUGCACCAUGGCCUUUCCUUAUUGGUGUGCUUGUCCUUAGUUCUUUGUGAUGCAAAAUCGUUAUUAUUAAUGGACUAGUUCCCAGGCCCCAUCAUUCCCUUUCUCCUGCUUUCUUCCUAUCAGACUGCAGCUAGUACCUCUUGCAGAUUAGGAGGAGGUUUGAUUGUUAGGAUUCGACCACAAACUUCAUCAAGGUUUUUUUCGAUCCUAACAGAAACUCAUAAAUUCAUUUCUUCUCAACAAUUUUAUUAUACUUGGCUGCAUCGGUUGGCCAGUCCCGUUGAGUAGUUUCAUACACAUCUAAUUGCUGCCAAUACCUACACAGAUGGUUGAAAUAUUGGUGGCUGAGAGGUUCUCUUGAAGGAGGUCAUUGAGGAUACCUUCCAUCUCAAAAGCUUCCAUUGUAUCUUCCUUAUCUGAGUAGGUUUCACGCGCAAAUCCCAGAUUUCCUUGUGCUGUUUCAUAGAGAAUAAUUCUCUCCAACAUCAUUCCUCAUGAAAUUUAUAAGCCAUAACAUGACUAUGUUACUUUCAGUUCUCCACAUCUUGUAGAGUGGAUCUUCAGAUUUUGGUUUAGUGAAUGCACUUGUAAUGUAGUCAUCUUUUCCUCGACCACAAAUGAACAUCAUAACUGAAUGCAACCAAUGAAGAUGGUUAUGGUCAUUCAAUUUGUGUCCAGUAAUGAUAAAGGCACUGGACUCAAAUCCUCCAUUAGAGUUAGUAACAGAUUGAGAUGAAAUAGUAGAGACGAUUGAGGCUAUUGAACAAGGAGGAAAAAGUUUCUCGUUUUAGAGAAUUGCUCUAAUACCAUGAAGAAUGAAAAUUUUGUGUUUUUCAUGGUUUUUUAUAAUAAUACAAGAAUUGUAUUUAUAAAACAAAAAUUACCAUAUUUACACAAAAAAAUCUUCCUAAUUAGUGAAAGGAUUUUCCAGAGUAAAUGACAAGUCAAAUCAAAGAGAUGGUCAAUCUUGGUGUCAUAUCUUCUAAUUAGGAAGUAAAUAUUUAUGAUAUAGAAACUAUAAUUACUUGAUUUUCAACAGCAUGAAAAGAAAUUAGAUUGACUGAAUUUUUAGCUUAAGUACGGCCUCAUGACCAAGUUAAAGUUACCUCAUCUAUCUGCUCAGUUAUGAAACUCUUGUAUGGAUCAAGAGUAUAUUUAUCAAGUUUAAGAUCUUCCUCCAAAACUCGUCGAACUCCAGUCAUUGUAAGGUUUCUGAAAUAAAAGUGAGUGAGAUUAUUACGUGUUUAUAUUUUUAUUAUCAACCAAUCGAAAAAUGAAAACCUACAUGUAACAGAUUUCCUAGGAAUAGGACAAAUAUGUAUAUACUACCUGUAACAAAUUUGCUAGGAAUAGAACAAGUAUGUAUAUAGAAAAUGAUAAUUUAACUAGCAGUAUUUUAAUCCAACGAAACAAAUGGCAAUUUAAUUACUUUUCCAUUUAUCUCCUGACUAAUUAUUACCUCUAACUGAAAAUAAAUCAUGUUGUAAUUAUGCAUAGUAAUAUUAAUAUAAAAAUUGGAAUUUGGAAUUAAAUAAGAAAAAAGUAAGCAGGACCUGAGUUAGAUAACCAAUUCAAAGAAUCAACUUACUCUGAAUUUUUUUUUAUAUAAGAAACUCUUUUCCUGAUGGCUUCCUUUAUUGUGGUCUCAGGAACUUCUUUGUUUUCUUCGUGUUGACUUUCUUUAUGUUUGGAAUCCUUAAGAUUUUUCUCCCCAACCUCAGCCAGAGGUUCUGAAGCCAAAUGAGUUUGUAUUGCCUAAUCAAAUUCCAGCAGUAACCAUAAGAAUUAGAUUGUCUGAUACUUCUGUAGUUUAAGUACUGCCUCCUGAAAUUAAACUCACUUCAUCUAAUUGCUCAUGUAUGAAUUUGUCAUAUGAGUCAAGAGCAUGCUUAUCAAGUUUAAGAUCUUCCUCCAAAACUUGAUGGACUUCAGUCAUUGUAAGUUCCCUGAAAUAAGCAAGUGAAUAUUAUUAUUAUCUAUUUAACUCUACCUGAAUAAGAGUUAAUUUCCCUUUACAUCGAAGACCAAUAGAAAAAUGAAACCGAUGCAUAACUGAAUUAUUAGGAUAAAAACAAAUGUUUACAUGUAAAAUUAUGAUUAAAUAUAGCAGGACCUUAAUCCAACAAUACUAAAUUAAAUAACCAAUUCAAACUUACUCGGCCUUUUUCAGAAAAUAGGGAGCUCUCUUCGUGAUGGCUUCUUUUAUUGCGCUCUCAGAGACUCCUUUACUUUCCUUACUAUGAGUUUCUUUACUUUUGGAAUUCUUCUUAAGAUUUUUCUCUCCAACCCCAGUUAGAGGUUCCAAAGUUACAUUUGCUUGUAUCGCCUAAUCAAUUGCAGAGGUAAGCAAAAGAAACUCCAUUGCCUUAUACUUUGGUUUAUGUAGUACCUCAAGGACAAACUAAACUCACCUCAUCUACCUGGCUGCGUAUGAAAUCACCAUAUGGAUCAAGAGUAUGCCUAUCAAGUGUAAGAUCUUCCUCCAAAAUUCGACGAAGUCCAGUCAUUGUAAGUUCCCUGAAAUAAAGCAAGUAAUGCUAUUAUAUGUUAAAUCCCCUGAAUAACUGGUAAUUGUCUUUACAUCCAAGAUCAGUACAGGAAACAUAUAUUUAUGUAGAAAAUGAUGACUAAUGAAGCAGGAUCAUUAUCCAAGGAUCCAAGUUAAAUAACCAAAUCAAAGAAUGAAAGCACAUAGAAUUAAUAGAUAGGAAACUCUUUUCUUGAAGACUUCCUUUAUGGUGCUCUCAAUGACUUUUAUUUUCCUCACCUUCGAAUUUCUUUACUUUUGGAAUUUUUCUUAAGAUUUUCCUCACCCCAACCCCCCAACCGGCCAUCCCAUUAGAGGUUCUGAAGUUAAAUGUGCUUGUAUUCCCCAAUAAUUCCAAAGGUAAUCAAAGAAUUUUUUAUUGCCUGACACUUUAGUUUAAGUACCGUGUCCUGGAUAAAUUAAACUCGCAUUGUCUACAAAAUAUAUGUUAUGUCUGGAAGCAACAAUCAAUAAUACCAAUCUGGUAUACCAGCCCCGGGACCCAUGUGAAACACAAUGCAGAGGCAGAAAAUGCACCACCAGAGUCUGAGUUGACUCCAGCCUCUACUUAGGAUUCUCCUUAGUACUCUAUCUUAGUUAGAUGUAGCCCAAGGAAUUCACCAGGAAUCAUAUGUAUUAGUACUUUAAUUUAACAUUACUUCCAAGUCUUAAGGUAGGGAAUAUUUGGACUUAGACAUGAAAACAUCUCUUGAAUCUAGGUGUAGGAGCAAGCAGUCCCUAUAAAUAUUCGCUGCAACAAUGAUUCUCUUCGAUAACCCCUAAACCAUAGACCAUUGAUGCCAUAAUCCAACAAGCAAGUUUUGCGCAUGUUUCCAGUCAGUUGAUCAUUGCACAAUCCAGACUUGGGAUAAUAACAAAGUGUUUAAAAGCAAGACUUCAUGAGUGAUAUGCUGACUUUCCAUGCAACAGUUUAUCAAGAAGAGCACACCAACAGCAGGAGAAAAAGGAAGCAUGAUAGGCCACGAUUUCAAGAACAGCAAGGAGAGCACAUAAUGCAACUAUCAGAGUCUUUAUUGAAAAUUCUCACAGGCCAAGCUAGACAAUAGCAGCACAAUGGAGGGAAGCAGCAACGAGCAUCGCUAAAAACAGCCCCUGGGUGCAGGUAAUAGCAUGGACAGGGAGGCACGAUCCCUUGAUUUGCUAAGUUGGACUUCUCUCACUUUGAUGGAGUCCCCUUGGAUGGCUGAAUUACUGCAAGCAUACACAUAGCUGAAGAAGAUAAGUACCUCAUCACCUGGCAAGCUGAAAGUUCCAGGGAGGCUAAAAAUCAUGCAGCCAUGGAGGAAUAAAGACAAAGAGGUUUGUGUCUUAACUAUGCUGAGCCUCUUUUACCCUGUUGCGGUUGUAAAAAAUUAGUCUGCUACAACUUAUGGAGAUAUAAAAAUGAAUCAUCAGAGCUGAAAAUCCAGAUUCACGCCAUUACCAAGGCACCUACACCUCAAAAUGAAGGUCAAAGCCUUAGAUUAUGACAUGCCCUUACUUGUUCUCACUGAUUUUGGUAGAGCUUGGUUUAUGUAUGAAGAAUUUCUUUCUGAUCUGUGAAUUAUGGUGGAGUACCUAGAGGGCUUCGAAGUAGUGAUGACAAACAAAGAGAAUUUGCAGACUGGGAGUGUGCAGGCAAAUACCUCUGCCGCUAGGUACAAUUUGUUUCUGCCUGGAUUUAUUCAUCCUUCGAUUGAACAGUUUCGAGGAUGUGCUUGGAUUUAAUUGGCUAUAAACAUAGGGUCUGACAAGCUGAAACUUUGCAUCUUGAAGAUGUCCUUCUUAUAUCCUGUUCUUGUUAUAACAUUGCAAGGUACCCAGAUUCUAAUCUCAUCACUCCUCGCUUCUCAAUGGUUGCAAUAGAAACAAGCAUGCAAUUGGAGCUACAGUGGGUCCUUGUUGCCUCGACUCAAUUUUUUAGCCUCCAUCUAGAUUUCCACCCAAUCACAAUGAUGAGCACCAAGUAACACUAUAGGAGGUUUUAAAACCCAAUUGUUGCCCAUCCAUAUCGCUAUCCUCAUUAUCAAAAAGAUGAGAUUCAGCAAUGUAAUGAUAUGCUACAACAAGUCAUUAUUUGGCCAAGCCAAUCACCCUCGUCAAAGAAGUAGAUGCCUUAUGGAAAUUUUGUGUGGACUGCCGAGCCUCAAACAAUGAGGAGGUUAAAGACAAGCUCCCUCCAGAGCCUUCAACAAUGAGGAUACUGUUUUUGGGAAUUGAGACUAAUAAAAACAUUUUAGUAGUCGAGAGGAAGCCCUUUAAGGAUCCUCAAAACCAUGUCAUUUUUGGUAGACCAAUGCCUAAUGGAUGCCAUAGAUCCACAUAAUAUAUUUAGUUUGAUGUACUGCAAAUUCAAACUAAAGUAAUAAGAGUCAAGAAUGCACGGAUCCUGGAGAAGUUGUUCAAUUGUGGUCUGCACUUCACAAGCAAUAAGAGAUAUUGGGAUCGAGCAAACAACAAAGAAUUUUAGAUGAGACUGUGGCUUGGACCCAGGAAAAGACAAGGGCAUUGCUUUGCUUGCACACAACAGAUUCUAGGUCGGCAAUGUCUUUGUCAUACUCGGAAAUAGUAGAAGGGUAAGAGCCAAUUCCAUCAAUGUGAGAGACAAACCCAUAUUCCUAGAAUAUCAUAAGAAAGAGAAACUUCUAAACCAGAUAAUUCAUGGAGUCUAGAGCUUCUUUAACAUAGUAAUGGAUGUUGGAGAUGCUAAAGCGAGGAUCAUAGAGACAAAUGGCAAAGCUCAAACAAAAGAAAAUGUUGCUAAGUUGAAGAAGAGAUCAAGUAUUGUUAACAGUAAAUACAGAGACAAAGAGAACAGGAGGGAAAAAAUGCAAAACAUGGAGGAAAAAUCAAUAUGGCUCUCAUACAAUCUUCAAUUUAUAAAUUACUACUUUCAGUCUAACCAGUAUGGUACGUAUAGCAUAUGUACAAGUUGUAGAAUCCUACUAUUACAAGAGAGUUUUGAUAACACAAGAAUACAAAAAAACAUAAUAUUAUCUUGCCAUUAAAUAACAAGGUUAUCAGUAUAGUUAUUCCUUUAAAGAACAACUAGUCAUCCUUUACGUCAAAGACCAAUUCAGAAAUGAAAACCUAAACAUAAAAGAAUUGCUCGGUUUAAAUACAAUAUUCUAUGUACAAAUAACGAUCAAAAUAGCAGUAUUUUAGUAAUAAUACUGAGUUAAAUAACUAACUCACAAAAUUAACAUACUUGGAAUUUGUUAAUAUAUAGGAAACUCUUUUCUUGAUGGCUUCCUUUAUCAUGCUCUCAGAGACAUCUUUAUCUUCCUUAUGUUGUGUUUCUUUUGUUUCAGACUUAGGUGCUUUAUGUGCUGUAAGAAGACCCAUCACAGGAGAGCCCUCCAUUUUCCCUUCAUCUUCAGGGGAAGCUUCCUUCACGUCUUUCUGGGACUUGAUUCCUUGAGGUGAGUCUGAUACCUUUGCAGUUGAACCAGUGUCUUUUUUUCCAGCCUUUCCAGAAUCCUCGGACAUAUUAUCACCAACACCUUCUAAAGACUACCAUGAAAAAUGAAGCAGGUUUUUUUCACAAAUUUGAAUUCAACAAACAGAACAGCAUAAUUUGCUUGAUCAUGUAGCGGGUCUUUGACAAAUCACAUUAAAAUAAAGAUGCUCAUUUUUCUUGGUUUAUGCACAUUACUUUUCAUUGAUUAUGGGCAUGGCAUAACUUGCUCCUUAUUUUCUGAUUGCAUCCAGUACAAUUUAUAAAUUACUUCCAUGUUACAGCUUACUUAAUUUUACCAACAAAUUCUGCUCCAACUGUUUAAUUAUCAAAAUAUUUUGCCACAAAGAAUCAUAUGCAAACUUCCCCAAAUCAGUAUAUAUCCCAGCAAGCUUUUCCAGAUCCAUUGUGUGAUUCAAGGCAAUGCUAAAGUUAAUACAAGACAAAGUGCAGAAUCCUGCCUUGACAUCACAAUUGAAAGCCACUCCAUAGCAUAGCACCAAAGAAGCUGCAAGAGCUUCAAAUCUUAGAUGCAGCAUACCUCUGUGCAUUUGCAUAUACUGUCAGUUCAAAAUCAAAUUUACCACUCUAGUACGCCCAGUUACCCAUUUCCACCUAAAUAUAACAAUGUUAAUUUAUUUACGUUUAAUAGAAAGAAUGAUACCGCAAAAAUACUAAUAGAAUCAUAUUGCUGAAAGCAUGACUCGCUCAAAAAAAUGCAGGAGAAAAAAAAAAUUCAGAUCAGUAAACCUACCACUGCAAGACAUUCCCUGACAAAACUCUUAUACGCAUCCAACGCAUAUUUAGCCAACCCCAAGUCCUCCUCUAACAAUCUCCUAACACCCUCAAAGGUAAUAAAACUGCACAAGGAACAAGGGAAGCGGAGAAAGAAAAAGAGUAUCAUAACCAUUCUGCUACUGCAAGGCACUCCAUUAAUAUUAAAUAAACUAUUUAAUAAAAGUAAAGAAAAUAGUUUGAAGUAAACCUUUGGUUCAACAUAAUUAGGAAAUAAAAAGUUCAUCGAGAAUUAUCUCAAAGAAAAAAGUUCAACGAGAAAACCAAACUACCAAUAACACACUUCUUUUAAGGUCUUUUAUGCACCAAGAGUUUCAAAAUUCUAAAAAGUAUUUUUGCACACGUCAUAAAUCCUGUUAUGCAGACAACAUGAAAGAAUCAGCACAUAAGUUCUCAAUCCACUAAUAACACAACCAGCCACUGUUUCACAUUCUGAGCUGUGUCAUAUUUUUUAGUUUUUAUUUUGGAGAAAAGAAAUUUAUAAACAAGGCACCAAGUGGUUGCCACCAGUUUAGAAAAUAAUGCCGUACUUUUAAAUUAUCACCAUCUCAUUUGUGCCUUCCACCUUCACGGCACUCCACUUAAGAACAUUCCAGUUGCUGACAACCAACAAAGAGUGACCUCUCUGUUAGGCAUCAGACGAGAUCCAUGUUUCAUAUGUAUACGAUUUAUAAAUUUAGACUUGGCUUUUACGAUAAUUUUGGCAAACAUUCUUACAGAGAUGCAGUUUUGCAGCGAUGAUUUUUCUUUAAAAAAGAAAGUAGCAAGAUAAUCCAGGGAUGAAUAAAAUACAUUCUUUUAAUGUAUUUCUCACUCAGCCACUGUGCUGCAGAGAGCCGCUAAUAUAGACCAAAUUUUUCCAUGGUUUUUGAAUUCCUUCCUCCAGUAAAUGUUUCUAUAUUUGAAGAAGAUAUCAAAUUCCCUUCAACAAAUCCAUGGAAAUAAUCCACUGCCUUUCUAAAAACCCGAUUAGAUUAGUAGAACAAAAUAAUUCUAAAGAAGAACACCAUCAACUAUUUCAAAUAACAAAAAAAGGUCAAAUCGAAACCAAAUCCCCCUAAGUAAAAAAGAACACUACAAAAACCAUAAAUCCUACAACCUGCUAGUAAAAUCUCGGAGAACAAAGUCAUCUUACCAAUUGACCGCUGCAUAUACGCAGACCUAAAUACAAACACAUUAACACGUACAAAAAUAUCCGUAGAGUGAGAGAGAGAGAGAAAGAAAGUACUCUGAUUGCUGCAAUAAGUAAGAAACACGAGCGCGCGUAGCGGCCACAAUUCGGGACUGUAAAUCCUUCGUCCAUGUUUCCUCCGUGCCUUGCCCGUGGUCGACUCUAUCCUGAGCUGGUUCCUUUGUGUCUACUUCUGUGGCACCGUUGCCGAGCGCAUCUUCGGCCAUUGUCGGGAGGUUUCCUGCACCCGCAACGACAGGGAAGGAAGAGAGCGAAAAUAGUCUGUGUGGGUUGCUUUGAUCUUUGUCCUGUUAAACCUUGACUGGGGGUGCAACAUUUAAGAGGAAAUGUUAGCGUGCGAAUGGCGCAGUGUACCUGCCUGGUGAUCUCUCCGAUGUGUGAGAUCAGAACCGUCCAUCUUCAUAGAGCCUCCAGUUUCGGCCACGUCUGUACACACUGAAAAAUCCUAGCCGUUCAUGAGCGCAGUUUAUCGUCACGAAAUAUACGUUAGUGGCGCAGGUACUUAAAAUCAAUUUCAGUGACGGAUAGAAUCUUAAAGAAACGUGGCAAAUUCCGCUGGUAAUUUAUAAAUUUUUAAAUAUCACAAUAUUUUAUUAUACUCUAAAUGACUCAAAUUCAACUCCGCAUUCACCUUAGAAAAUUAUUAAAUUUAGUUUAAAUUUUAAUAAUUUAAAUAAUAUAGACUUUUAAAUAAAUAUAUAUUUUUAUUUUAAAUAAAUUUUAUGUAUGAUUCAAACUUGAGGAUGUUUUGUGGUUUUUUACCUUAUAAAAUAUAAGUUGAUAUUGAUAAAUUUUAAAUAUAUCAAACAGUUAAUCUUAAAUUUAUAAGGUAUUAAAUACAUUUUGGUGCACAUAUUUAAUAAUUUUAUUUUAAAUAAUAAAUAUAUAUAGUAUUAACUUAAUUAUGUAUAACGUAAUAUUUGAAUAGUAUUAUUUUUAAUUAAACAAUGAAGAUGUAGAAAAAUAUAUUUCAUUAACACACGAUUUAACAAAUUAAAUUAUUUUAUCAAAAUGUUGUAUUUAUUAAUUAUAUUCAAAAUUUUAAAAUAUGUAUUUUAUUUGCAUUCAUUUAUUUUUUAUAAAUAUGUAAUGUUAAGUAUAUUAUUCAUUUAUCUUAAUUAUUAUUUUUUGCACAUAAUAUCCUACGCGAAAACAAAUAUAAGAUCAUAAUUUUUUUAUUAACUUCUAAGACUGAAUGAAUAAAUAUGUUAUGCAUAUAGCAUUUAAAAAAAAAAAAAAGGAACAGGCUCCCCCUCUUUUUCAAAGGAGGGUAUGUUAUAUUAACGGGGGAAAGAGAAGGGAAAAGGAAGGUCGGAUUUUUUGAAGUACAUAGAGUAUGUGUUUAAGUAAAAAGUCAACAGGAUAUUUUAUAAUAAUAAAUUUCAUAUUUAUGAAGGAGAUGGGUAUGAAUAUUUUCUUCUUAUAGAAUAAGCUUUUAUUUUUAAAUUUUUAUUAAUGCACUACUCACAAAAAUAUGAUUCAAUUAAAAUUUUUAUAUUUAAAGUGACUGAGUAAAUAACAUUAUUAAUUAUAAAAUAUAUUAUAAUAUAUAGAAAUUAAAAAUGUAACGUAACAUUGUAAAUAUUAUUUAUACUUGAGACUUGUUUGAAGAAUGUCGAGUUUGUGUUAUUAUAGAAUAUUGUAUCCCAGAGUAAUAAUACUGAUAAUUUCACUAACAAUUUUAAUAUUUGACAUUAUGUCAACUCAAAAAUAAUAAUUUGUUAAAUAAAAUUUAAAUUAUUUAACAAAAUAUCUUAAUAUCGAAGUUUUACAACCCCUUAAAUAAUGUAUAUAUUAUUAGACUUUUCAUAAUAAUUUGAAACAAAUUUUACCUGUCGUUUAUGUUAUUCCCUUCAUACUUUGUUAGGAUCGACUUUUGAAUCACAUGUAUAACCUAACCGCUAGUAUUAAGGUAAUAGUUUCUCUAAUUACAAUAAGAGCUUGUAUUUAUUGUAUUUGUAAAGAACUGUGGGCUCAUUGGUUGUGAUUCUAAGUGACCUCAUUACACUUGGAUUUGAGGCUCCACAAAAAUUAACCUCAAUAAAAUUUAUUUCAUAUUAUGGGACAUGCAUAAUAUAUUCGUUUCAUAGAAUAAAAUAUAUAUUUUUAAUACAGAAAUUGUAAUAACCGAAAUUAAUUUGUAAAAUUUAAAAUUUAUGUAUAAAAUUUAAUUUUUAAUUUUAUAAAUUAUUAUUUAAUGUAAACAUAGGAAAAAAAAUAGGUAAAAAAUGAAAUUAAAAAUAAUUUUGGAAGAAAUGUGUGAAAAUUUGGAUUCUAAAGGUGUUUCUGAAAGAAAAAUCGAAAACUUGGAGUCAAAAUAUAAUUUAUAAAAAAUGUGUCACGUAGGACGCCUAGUCAAUAACUCCGACGAAUCGGAGCAUGCUUCGUGGCAAGGCACGCUGACGCGAUGCCACGCGGGAGGCCACGCUGACGAUCCGCGUACCCGCGACCGGACGGUCCAGAUCAAAUCAUGAUAAACGAUCAAGACUCACUUCCUAUUUAAACGCGAUCGGUCGAUCCAUGUCAAAUGCGAUAGACGGUUCAAAUUAAAAGAAGACGGAUAUAAAUACUCUUCUUCACACCAAACCCUAACCCUAGCCAUAAGACCCCCCCGUCGGAGAAGAAGAGCCAGUCACCGGGAAGGGAGCCGACCGUCGUCCGCCGCCACGCCUUAGCCACUUCCGACUAACAAAAAAGGUAAAAAAAUUUCAAUUCGCUCGAAAUUCAAUUUUAAACACCCAAAUGGUCAAAUCAGAGCAAAAGAACUUGUGGAUAAGAUAGAAAUCACGAGUAAAUCCCGAUGGCACCAUCGUAGGAAAAAGUAAAAACUACAUCUGAUGAGGCUCUUUCUAAUUCUCCUUUCGUGUAAUUUUUUUACCAUUGUAAUCACCAUUCUUUUUUCUACAGGUUGACCGAAGCAAAACACCCAACCACAAAGGUGAGCCGGUAAAGCUGUUGCACCAAAAACUCCACAGCCAAUAAACUUGGGUUUUUCAACUUUUUUUUGCCAAUCGAUACCCAUUAACAUGUUUUCUCGUAGGAAAAUGUACAAAACUAGCCGAAAUUGACUAAAACUGGCCAAAAACAGCUAACUCGAAGCAAACCGCGGUUACAAGCGGUGGUGCCGUCGUCGGAGCAUGGCAGAGCUGUCGUGCCGGAAUUUCAGAAUUGGCCAAAAAUAAUUUCUAACACUGAUUUUGAAUUUUUUUGGGUAUAUCUAGGUACUUAAAAUGUGUUUUAAUCCCCGAAAAAAAAUAUAGGGAACUCGAGAAUCGUUAGUAGGCACAGCUGAAAGUUUAGCAUUUCGGACAUCAAUUUGAGUAAGAAUUUCUCACCUUAUUCCUUGUUAUGGAAUUGAAGUAAAUAAUGUGGUCUUUUGUACAAAUUAUAAUGGAGGCAGAAUCGAUUAUUUAUUACUGUUUACCAUGUUUAACUGAGUGAUUUAUUUUACAGUUUGAAUGCUUGAUAAUACACCUGAAUUGGUAUGAUAACUCAUUUGUAUUUUUUUGAUAUAUAUAUUGCAUGUUUUACAUAAUUUACAGUUAAAAUUGAAAAAUUAGAAGAUACAUAGAAAAUCCUACCAUGAACAUUGCCUCAUACGGGACAGGGUAUCGAGUAUUGGUAAUUUGGUGCUCAUACCGGAUGGGGUAUGGGGACAGUCCGUUUCAUCCUCAUACUGGACAAGGUAUUGAGAGAUUGUAUUUCUUGGCGCUCAUACUGAAUGGGAUAUGGGGACGGUCCUUAGUUGAAAAUAUUGAAAAAAGAUUCACACGUAGUAGGGACAUCCCAAUGGACCUUCACGGAUACAAGUAGGCUAAUAAAUGAAAAAAUUGUUGUUCCGAUUAAUUGAAUAUAAAAUUAUGAUAUUGUUAUAUUAUUGACUCUAUAGGUCAGUUUUAGAAAUCUCGCUACGGUAAACAUGCAGUAAAUGAUUUUAUUUAUGAUAAACGAAUUUUACUUAAAUUAAGAGCUCCAUUAAUUAUUUUUAUCAUUUCUACCAACUUUUAUUUCUGUGUCAGUAAGUAGCGUGAUAUUUUUACUGUACUAGUAUAGCUCACUCUCUCAAUUAACUAUUUCAGAUCGAGAAGACCAAGAUCCAAAGACCGAUCUGCAAGAGGGUUGCGAGUAGAAUGUUUAGUUUGUUUACUUCUCAUUUAUUUCUUUGACUAUUAAUUAUUCUUUUAGAAUGGUCAUUCUCGUAACCCUAUUGGGUAUCCUGAAUUAUUGUCUAAGAAAUGUAAACCCUAACGUUAUUAUUUCACUUUCGCACUUAAUUUAUAAUUUAUUUUCUUUCAAGUCCAUGGACUGUUACAGUUGAUAUCAAAGCCUUGUUUCUCGGAACCAUUAAUUGCACAAAAUCCUUAGGAAACACCAAAAAUUAUGAAUUAUCACUCAAUUAUUUUUUUGUGAAAUGCAGGUACAAAUAGAUGAGGAGAGGAAGACUCCCACUAAACCGAGUAGUCUGGGAGGGUUCGCUUCAAGAGGAUGUUGAUUGGCUAUUUGAAAUACUGGAGAGACUUAUUGUUGUCCAGCAUGUCCGGAAGGAAAGGAGGGAACUACCCAACUCUCCCCUGCUGCCCUAGUUGAGCCACACCUGCAGCGAGAGGAUCCUGAACUACCCUGGUUCGACUCUGCUCCUCCACAGUACCAUCUAGCACCACCACAGUAUGAUCCGGUACUCCAACCACAUUAUCACUCGGCACCACCACAAUAUAGCCCAAUCCCCCAACUGCAUCACCCAACACUACCACGGUAUAAUUUGGUGCCUCCACCGUAUCAUCCAGU
rnacentral:lncRNA from 1 species